CAGCUUACUCGACAUAAAAGGCGGGAAUACAUGGGUUUAAGUUUGAUAUGGUAGUUGUGAAUCACUAUGUCAAACAAAUCCCAUUACAUGAUAGAUUAGAUAUCGUUUCAAUUCAAAUGAUUGAACAUCGUGAGAUUUUUAAAUCACACUCAACAAUAUGAGGUUAAAGAUAAAGAUAACAUAACAUAAUUAAAUGGAAAUAUAUAUAUCUGCUACAAAUACUAAAACGUCAAACACCAAAGACAGACAGUGUAUUAUCUGAGAGGAUUGACAAGGGAUGAGCUUGACAAGAGAGGCUUCAAAGUGUCCGACAUUGCGCAAAUGUAAGCGGCGGCCAUUGAGAAUGCAGAAACUAGGGACAGUGGCCAGAGCGGAAGCGCGCUGAAAAGAAUCAUCAUCAAUGCUACGGAUAUGAAAAAUGUUAAGGAAUUGAAGACAAUGGCUGAUAGGAUAAAAUAAGGAUGUUGAUUCGCAAUCUGGCAGAAGGGACUUAGGCGGCUAGAAUUGCAUUCGUAGGCCUGUUCAGCUCUGCAUCCCAGGAUUUUCAAUUGUACGUGGAAGGUUGUAGUUGAUAACAGUGCUGAGAUGAGUAAUAAUAGAUGAUAUACAUUAAUGCCUUUAGAGUGCUUCUUUCCUGUUUUCAUGGGCCAGUUAUGCCGCAAAUUUGAAGCAGCUGAUGAGCUAGCUGUCUUCCAAGGUGAGAUGUCUAAAGCGGUAAAAUCACUAGUGCCCAUAGUUUUAUUCUUGGAGAUGGAGUUUGAGCCUGGAAAAUAAUUCAAUAGCUGCAGAAUUCAAACAUGAAAUUACAACAAACUAAAAAUUAAAAAAAGAAAAAAAACUGUUGGUGGCAAAAGAGAUUUAGCUAGAUUAGUUAGUAAAACGAACACAGCGAUAUAAAAGGUGACGAUCAAAUGAAAACUAUCCCUGACUACGAAUAAGCAUAUUGAAGAGUUUAAAUAGCUUCAGUGGAAAUCAAAUUACGUAGGAAUCGCGAAAGAAAGAUUGCGGAGUCAUCCCGAAAAAAUAGGACAAGAAAAAUGGAAGCAACCGCGUUGUUUACUUUGUUAUUUUAUUUGUGCAGGACGCCGCUGGCAUUUUGCAGCUUGGAAAGCAUAUUGCUUGCCUGGUUAGUAAUGUUGGAUUUAUGCCCAAAAAAAGAGUUAAUAUGAGUUUUUAUUUUGAUGUCCAAUGUUUUUGUUUAAAGUUUUGUCAUCGUAAUUGUUAUUUUUAACAAAAAAAAACAAUUAAGCUAUUAAAGCACUAAUAAUAUAGCAUAAUAUGUUCUCUCAAAUACAAAUUUAGAUUUUACAUCAUUUAAAAACUUAUUUAAUUAUUAUAAAGGUAUAUAAAUAUAGUAAUUUUAUGUUUUUAAAGAACCAUUGUAUUAGUAAAAUAUUAACACAUUAGUAAAAUAUAUAUAUAUAUAUAUAUAUAUAUAAUACUCAGAAAAGUAAGAUAAUAUAAUAUCAAUAAAGUGCUAUGGAUGUGGGAGCCAUUCAAUUAUGCUUGAAAAAAUGUCAAAGUUACAGUUCUAGUGCACUGGGCCCUGGCGAGAACAUUAACGAAAAAGACUCGGUAUCAAAUGUGUUUCAUUUUCUAAACUAAUGCUUGAUUCGACCCUACCAAAUGCCUUUUUCUCAUUUUUUUUUUUGUUCUUGCAAAAUGAAAAAAAAAAAAUGAUAGGUGAAAAAUGGUACAGUAUGCACCAAAAAAAAAUUCAAAUCAUUUAUUCAUUUUCGUACAGAAAAAAUGUCCAGGUUACAAUUAUACUGGCCCUUAGCAAAAACAAAAUUGGAAAACGUAAGCAUAAAACGUGUUUCAUUUUCUUGAAAAAUAUAAAUUGAACCGUAAUUCAGCCCAACUAAACGUGUUUUUAUUAAUUUGUGUUCUUGCAAAAUAUAAAAUAAUAGGUGCAAAACAGUACCAUUUGCACCCUGUGUCAAAUUUUUUACAUCUCAAUACAACACAUUAAAAUACGUUUUAAUCCAUUUUGUGUUGUGUCGCUGGCUUCUCUUGAGGCUAAAUAUCAUUAUUCAGCAUAUAUUUCUUUUUUCCACUGCACUCAGCUUUUUUUUUUCAAUAAAAGAAAAAUUUACAAAUAGCUUGCAUAUGAAAAAUAAUUAAUUAACAAAAAAAUUUUGUGUAUCCUUCAUUAACUGGGUUUUUGUUUUAGGCACUUGAGAUUUUAUUUGUUGGGAAAAUAACACCUACACUCAAGGUUUAGGGAACUGGUCACAAAGUCCCCCAAAUUUCAAUAAGGGACAUCAAGACCCCUUUUUAACUAUAAUACAUUUUGACUCUAUAAAUCCGCAAAUAAAUACCCAAAAAUUUUCUAAUAAAUGGAUGUAUAAAUUAUUAUGCAUAUAGAUGACCAUAUUAAGUCUUUAAAAGAAACUUAAAAAAUACAAAAUAACUUUAUUAGGGCCCCAGGUAUGUUGCACUACAAGGCUAACACUUUUAUUCUUUAAACAAUAUGCCCUUGGGCCUGAUUAGUUGAUCUUUUAGGUGUUACGUAUCAAUGUCCCCAAAAGAUUACCUUUUACUAAGCUUGGAGGGCUUGCCCUCUUUGGGGAACUUUACCACCUUAUAAUACAACCACCUAUUUUUCAUAAAUUCAUUUUCUAAAACGUCUUCUUAUAAAAUAGUCCAUGAAACGCAUGCGUUCAAUGCAACUUAUAUCAUAACAUGUGAAGUUCCUAUAGGAACAGCAAAAUUAACAUACAAUGGUAUUUAAGGACAACAUUCUUUAAUGUAGGCGGCAGUGCCAUCCAUAUGGAGAUUAAACAAAAUGGGACUAUAAUAUAGGCACUGCUGUACGGCCAAGGCGGAUGUACGGUACAGCAGAAAUAUAUUAUUAGAAUAAAUAUAAUAAUUUAAAAUUUUAAUAUCAUUUUAAAUGUCAAAAAUAAUUUAAUAUUAUUAGUCUACUAGAUAGAUUAAAUUAUUUAUAUUAAAUUUGUGUUAAUUAAAAACAUUUAAAGUUAAUUUUUUUAAUUACUAUAAUCAAAUGGUAUUAUGAGGAAAAAGGGAUUUUGGUAUCCUUUUUAAAAUUUGAGAUUUUUUAUGGUUAUUUUCCCAAAUUUUAGGUCUUUUUCCCUUAUUUGUUAGAGGUUUUGCAUAGGGGUGAGCAUUUUCAAACUAAAACUAGUCAAACCGAGCCAACCUAACCAUUGGCCCAAUUUGGGGCAGUUUGUAACAAGCCGCUUGAAUUUUGGGCUGAAAAUGGUUUGACAAAUCUCAACCUGGUCAAACUGACCAAAUCGAAAAGAAAUGCCACAUGUAUUAUUUUAGUUGCAUAUUACUCUAUAUAAUUACAUGGGAGUCGCGAAGGAAAUAUUGCGGACUUAUAACAAUAAAUAGAAAAAAAAAAAAAAAAGGAAAAAAAGGAUAAGAAAAAUGGAAGCAACCGCGUUGUUUACUUUGUUAUUUUGUUUGUGCACCACACUAUCAUGGGCGGCUUAAACUUCCCGCAAACGGAGGCUGAAUUGGUGUGCAUAGGUUUGCUUAGUAAAAAUCUAUCCAAAGGCGAGAUGUAGCAGCAGGGUGUACUUAGUAAAAGUCUAUCCACUCAUAGUAUUCAAACUAUAAUUUUAAUACUCUCUCAUUUUUAUAUUUUUUCUCACUUUUAUCAGUUAAUUAUUAUAUUAUUUAAUUCUUAACUAAUUAUAUGUGUGGAUAAAUAUAGAAUCAAGUACCAAAUGUGCCACAAUUGUAUUAAUGUGGCGAUAUUAUGUCAAAAUACUAUACAAAUCUAAAAAAAUCUAUAAAUUAACAUGACAUAAAAAUAACCAGAAAAUAAUAAAAUAAACUUAAAACUUACUUAAGAAAGUAAUUAAUUUAAUAAUUUGAAAUCUUGAGCUUUACCAUUCACCUCAGCUUAGUAAAAUUAGCCACUUAUAUUGAAAGAAAACAAAACACUCUUUUUAUUUGACAAAUUUUUCAAAAUAUAUUAUAAAAAAAUUGAUUACACCAAAAACAAGAAAAGAAAGAAAAAAAGAAAGAAUUCUUCAGCUUCACUCUGUUCUCUCCAGGCAUUUUUUGUCGCUUAUCUCCCUUUCUUUGACUUUUAUAGGCAACAAAUGCCUCCACCUUCAUUCCUUUUAUUUUUAUUUAAUUUAUUAUUAUAUUAUUAUUUUAAUCAUUAAAGGGAUGAGCAAGUGGAUGGUGGUAGCCACUUGCUCAUCUUGAUAAGUGGCUCACACACUUUUUAAUUAUUAUUUUAUUAGUUUUUAUUAUUAAUUUUUUUAGCUUUUAUAUAUGAAUACAAUCAAACUUUUUGUCUCCUACUUUCAAUUCUGAUUCCUUCUUAUUCUUAAAAUUUAUCUGCAAAUUAAAAUUAACAUGUUACAAAUUAGGGUCCUUCUAUGUUGCAACAGUUACAACGUACAACACUUUUUGUCCUCAUUCACAAUUAUCGUAGGAUCUGAAGAGACUCCAUCUAACGGUUAAGAUUAUUGAGUGGAAAAACAAAGUAUGUACUAGCAACCGUUGAAGCCAGUUAUCUACUCAAGUAAUGGCUUUUGAGGGGGCGUCAGUUUGAAACAGGUGAUUAGGAAGAACAUGAAUGAUUUACUCACGAGAAAAGAGAAACAAAGGGUUGAGAAGAUGGCCGUUAAGAAAUAAUCCGGAGACACGAAUAUGAAAAGAAGACGAUCGCAUUUUAUUGGGGGGAAAAUAUUCGGAGGAUUCACCUAAGUUGGAACCUGGGUUGUCAACAGAGCAAUUUCGAUGGCAAGAGGCAAAGAAACCAGCGGGUAUAUGUGAUUUAAUUUGACAAAUAAUCAAGAUACACCAAAUACAAGAGAAGACGAUCGCAAUUUUGUGGGGAAAAAGAUUCGGAUGUUUUGUUUAUGAAUAUAGGCUGUUGUGGGAACAAAUCAGAUGGUGCUUCUGUAAACGUAGUAGCAAAUUGCAACCUAUAUUUUCCGGUGCUGAAAGUAUAGGAAUUACCCAUAUCUGAAAGUAGAGGGAAUAUCUCAUCUGUUUGAUUUACUGGUGUGCAGUUCGAAGCGGAUGAAGAAGGCAAUUGGUGAAAAAAUAAUGGUUAAUUUUGUUUGAAAGAGUUACUAUUCAUAAUUCGAUUGGGAGAGCCGGUUAUGUUUAUUUAUAAGAAUGCAAUGAGGUGAUAUAGGUAAGAAAUUCUCAAUGUUUAAUUUUAUUGCAAGCAGCAGUGGAAUGAAGGAGGAAAAGGCAAUUAAUUUCUUGGAGAAGGAAAUGCCGAACAAUCUUGCAUUUACAUUUAAACAAACUGUGAGCUUAAGUUUGAUCGUAAUUUUAUUAAUCGGUAGACAAAGAUUAAAGUGAUCUUGAAAAUGUCAUUCAUAAGGAUAAUUUGUGUUCAUUUUGUUGGUCCAGAUACCUUGCUGAAUUUUAUUAGAUAGUGAGUUUAAUAGUAGAUUGUAUUAAUUGUUUGUUCUGUUUUUUUUUUUUAAUGCAUAGGCAUAUGAAUCUUUUUCUUCCCAUAUUGACAUCGUUUCUUACUUAAAGAUGGGGACACAUAUGCUGAAGAAUACAAGAUGCAUGGAUUUGGUGUCUGUCGUUUUGCCAAUAGGCAUUGGUAUGAAGGAGCCUGGCGUGAGCGUAUAAGACAAGGGCUUGGAAUGUACACAUUCAGAAAUGGGGAAAACCCAAUCUGGUCACAGGCAAAAUGGACUUCUCGACAUUCCAAGCGCACAAAAUACAACUCAUCUUAUAUCAUCUAUUGCAAUUUACCACUCCAAAGUACUCAAUGUGGUGCUGGUAUUUGAACCUUUUUAACCAAACUUUUAUUCAUUUUAACACUCAGCAGCUGCUGAUGCCUAAAAUUUAUUACAGAUUUAUUGUUUCAUUGCAGAUGUUUCAAUGUUCCUUGUGUAAUAUGAUUAAUGCACGUCUUCACUUUCAGCAUUUUACUGAUGUGAGUAAGAUGAAUGAAAUUGAAGAUAACAAUCAGAAGUUAUUUUUAAAUUUUGGUUGUCUGUGAGAAAACCUCACUAAGCUACACAAAACUUGUUAAUGUCAUAAUAACUUUCGUCAAGUUAAUUGUUGUUCAAGUGGGGAUUUUUUUUCUUAUUGUCGUUGUCUUGUAAUCAGGAAGCACGAUGAGCAACUGAAAGGCUUAUGAUGUGGCUAAGGUAGAUGAGAGAGUUAACAGGGCUGUAGCAGCAGUUAACAGGGUAGCAAAUGGAGAUAGAGUUGCUACAUUUAAGGCUGUCAAUGCAUCAUAACAACAACAAAGAUAGCAUCCCUCUUUGUAUGAUAUAUACCCAUGCACGUCUCAUAUAGUAAUACAAUUGUCUAGAUGGCUUUAAGACGAUGAUGACUAAUGAGUCAUUAAUCAUCAUCCUUUCUUCAUCAUUUUUCUUUAUCGAAGGGGCUUCAAAAUUUUGAAGUCCCUGCAUUAAUGAUAUUUGCUUCUCAGAGUAAGAUGGUGGAAGAGCACUAUAUUAGGUUUGUUCCUCUAAAAUCAUCUGUUAGAUGCAUUCCCAAACUAAUGGGGAAUGGAGGGAGAGAACAGAGGCGACGACAAUAACUUGUGUGUUUAGAUAAUAUUUGCCUUUUUCCUUUUUGUUUAGAGUUUUGUAAAGUUGGAUGUAAUUGUAAGAGUUAAGAGUGCUGGUAAGAGACCUUCGGCCUAGCCUUUGUUGUAUGUGAGCUCACUGGUUUCUACAAUGAAAUACAAUCAAUGCUUGCCUGUAUCUUGGGGCGUUUAUGGAUUUAAUCCAAAAUGAUAAUCAAUCAACCUAUGCCUUUGAACGAAUUGAUUUAUUUUUGCUAAAAUACAAUAACAAAAUAUUCAAUUUCAAUUGGAGCUAGUUUCUUAUGAAUAAUUACUAAUUGUGGAAAGCAAUUUUCAUUGUGGCCUAUUUAAAUAAUUAUAGCCAUGAUGUUUAAUAUUAAUGGGUUCCUCUAUGAUGCUGUAAAAAAUUUACAGCAUCAAUAAUGUAUUAAUUGUGAACCAUUAGAUUUAAUCAAUAGUGUACAAUAUUUGUAUUAAAAAAAUAAUUUAAAAAUAAUAGUAAACAGUUUGUUAACAUUUAAGUGGGUGGAGAAUUUUUGUAAAAUAAUUGUGACCACCCUUAGAGUUUGAAAUAAUUUCACUUAAAUAGCAUAUUUUAUUUAAAAUUACUUUUCAGCCCUCCUUUAAAUUUGUAAUAUGAUAAUCUUUUUUAAAUAAAUCUUCCAAAAUCAACUAUCAUUAAGUAUAAAAUAUAAUAUCAAGUAGGUUAUUUAACACAAAGUCUUAUAAUAAUUUGUAUUGUAUGAAUUUAAUUACAAACCAUUAAUACCUAAACAAUAAUGAUAAUAGAAGGCAUUUCAAUAAACUAUUUUAUAUGUGUUUUAUUAAUAAUACUAUAUGAGUCACAACAAAUGAGAAAUAUUUUAUUCACCAAUUAUUAUUGAAAAAUAUAUAUGUCUAUAUAACUAUAGAGUGAGAAAUAUUUUGAUUUAAAUUUUUAACAAAAGAUUAAACUAUUUAUUUCAUGCAAUUCAAUGGUAGAGGAUAUAACAUUAUGAAAUGUUGCUUUGACUUUCAAUAUCAACCAUUAGAUUAUGAGAUAUUAGUGGCUCAAAUAUUGUGCUAAAAUUUUAAGUUAAAGUAUCCCAAACCAUAUCUUUAUAAUGGAAAUAUAAAAACAUGCAAUGAUUUUUUUUCCUCAUUUUGUCCAUUAAAUAUUAUUUGAUGUGAUAUUUUAUUUAUUGUCACUAUUAAUUAUCAUAAUAAAAGUAAUGACUCUUCGUAACAUAAAAUUUUUAUAAUUACUAUAAAAGAAUAACAAUAAAAUAAUCUUUCAUGAUUCAUAAACUAAAACUCAUUAGGAAUAUAUAUUCGAUUUAACUUUUAUGAAAUUAACAAAGUGAUAUUUGAAAAUAAAAUGAAAAUAUAUAAGCUUAUAAAACUUAAAACUCCCACCAUGUAAGGAUAUUAACUGUAAGAUAAAUAUAAAGUAUAGAAAAUAAGUACGUUAAAUGGGUGUUAAAAAUGAUACAUACUUCAUGAUCAAUUAUACAAUGGCCCUUAAUAUUAUAUAAAAUAAUGAGUAUUUUAAUAUACGAUAUUAAAUUUUAUUAAAACAUGUGUGAUCAAGUAAUUUUUAUGUUACAAGCAAUCUCAACAAUGAGUUUAUUGAUGUAUCUAUGACAUUUACUUAACUAUAUGUACUUGUUGUGUUAUUUAUUAGUGUUAUAUCACAUAUAAAUUUUGCAAUUGCAACUUAUUUAUUGUAUUUGUGUUAAAUAACCUACCAUUAUAUUUUAUACUUAAUGGUAAUAGAUUUUGGAAGAUUUAUUUAAAAAAGAUUAUCACAUUUCAAAUUUAAAGGGGGAUUGAAAAAUAAUUUUAAAUAAAAUAUGAUAUUUAAGUGAAAUUGUUUCAAACUAUAAGGGUGGUCAUAGUUAUUUCACAAACUUCUCCACCCCUUACACGUUUGUUAACCGUUUAUCAUUAUUUUUUAUUUUUAUUUUUACCUAAAAAUAUUGUGUACCAUUGAUUAAAUCCAAUGGUGCACAAUUAAAAACAUUAUUGAUGCUGUAAAAAAAAUUACAGCAUCAUAGAGGAACCCUUAAUGUCAACAUUUUGAAGCAACAGACCAUGCAGUUAACACCACAAAACUAAAAGUCAAAAUCUAUUUCAUAAAGAGAUUCAAAUUCAAAACUUUCUAACCAAAUACCCAAGCAUAACCAAUUCACGACAAGGAUGGCCGACGCUGCCCAAGGUUUCUCUCAAUUUGACAUAACGAAAGAGGAAAUAGAUAAGCUUGUUGCAAAAGUUGUAUAAUAUGUCCGUUUUAAAACUCAUUAGAACUCGGGGUGUCCGAUCAAGAGAGAAGACCUUGUUCAAUUGGUUACCAAAACUAUAGCCAGUGUGCUAUUCCUGCUCAUGUGAUCAGUGCGGCUAAAGAGAAGCUCUCUAAUGCUUUUGGCUAUGACUUGAGAGAGCUUCUGAGAUACCGCCCUUCAUCCGCUACUCAACGCCACUCUACUCAACAAACUGAUGUUGCCAAGGCAAAGUCCUAUGUUCUCAUAAGUAAGCUACCAGCUGAGGUGUACAAAAAAUAUGUAGAAGAUGAAAAUUCAGCACAUUUUAUCUAGUUUUACAUUUGUUGUAAUUAGCAUUGUGCAUCUUGCUCGAGGUAAAACCCCAGAAGAUAUCCUUUGGCAUCACUUUGAAACGUAUGGGAUUGUGUGAAACUAAUGUAAGCCAUCCGCCGUUUGGAAAUGCCAAGUAGGUGUUGGAGACACUAGUCCAGCAAAGAUAUUUGCAGAAAGACAAGGUUAAUGGCCCUAAAGGCAAUACUUGGUUUUAUGAGCUUGCUGAGCGAGCUCUGGAUUGACCACUUAGCGAAAAAAUGAAAGAAUACAUAUCAGAGAUUGAUAGCAAAGAAGUUGUCCCUGUGGAUGUUGACGAAGCUGAGUAGUGACCUAAUGCUAAUCUUCAUUUAACUUUGUAGAGACUGGGCAUGUUAAAAGUUUCUGAUCUCUGGUGACAGCAAUGGUGAAAAUAUUGGGAAGUUAGCAGAUUAGGGAAGGAAAUGGCCUAAAUCACCAAUCUCAUUUCUAGAAUUCGAAUGUGAGAGAGGUUGCUGCACUACGCUAAUAGCCAAUGCUGUAUCUAUAAAGUGGCUUUAAGUUACAGGUUAAAAUUAUGUAACCUGACAAUGGUUUGUACUGACAAUGAUGUUUUCAGACUUGGAGUAACUACAAAUUUUUUGGAGAAGCUAGAGCAGUUAUGGGAGCAAAACGAGUCAAGUAAAAUAGGCUUCAAUUGGAUAUCUUUUAGCCUGUCUGAAUUCUGAUGAUUGAUAUAUGAAAAUUGUGUCCACCACUGGUUGCUUUGUAAUAAAAUUUUUUAGUAGAUUAAAAAAAAAAAUCCAAGCAUAGAAAUACAUUUAGACAAUCCUGUCCCAGGAAUUAAUCCCAUCUCAAAUAAAUUGAAAAAAAAAAAAAUUUCAGGAAUUAAUCCCAUCUCAAAUAAAUUGAAAAUACAUUUAGACAAUCCUGUCCCAGGAAUUAAUCCCAUCUCAAAUAAAUUGAAAAAAAAAAAAAGAUAGUUUGGUAACACAAUUAACUCUCAGUCUGCUCCCUCAACCUCCUAAUGGUACCUCUCGCGGUCACAGCACUACCAAUACUGGAAAGGAACAUAGGACAUAAUUUAGAAUCAUUCAAAUUAAACAAUCAAAGUAAAUAUAACAGCUAAUGAGAAUCUUACUUCAAAGUGUAAGCGCCUCCAGCUUUCACCUUGCUAGAGUCUUUGCAACCCCAGAUUCCCACAGCCUUCCUCACAGCAUACUGCCAACAGUAAGGAAUAUGUAAAUAUUUAAUACAUCCACAAGCAAAAGCGAACAGUCAUUGAACAGCAAAGAGGGGAAUGUAUUACUUUCCCACAAAAUUCACAGAAGUACUAGCUGUGUUGACAGACCUCCAUCUUCUUAAGAUUGGCACCAUAACAGGUGCCUGGAAAAUAAUAAUACUUAUAAUUCCAAGAUCACAAAGCCACACAUGCAAAAACAAACUAAAACAUGAAAGUAAGGCUAACAACAGGCGAGAGAGAAACAUGUCAAUAAACAUGUCAAUAACCCACAAUUCAUGCUCAAAGCUUAAUGAGACAUAAUAUUUCUACCUACUAUUAAUAUAAAGAUAUCCCAAGGGAAAGAAAUGAAAAUCUAAGUCUACGUUACCAUAACAUCUAUACUUGAGGACACUAAACAAACCAAAAAAAUGAAUAAAACUAGCCUCAAUAUAUAUCAUACUACAAUUCCUGUCUUCUAGGUCCUUUUCGUCUGCAAAACCCGAUAUAUGAAACCAUGAUCAAAUACAUGAAUUGGAAAAGUUUUUUAAAAAAAAAAACAAGAGCAAAACCAAAAUCAUCAGUAUUGGAAAGAGAAAAACAGUGAUUAAAAGAAAAAAAGAAAUUGGAAGAAUCUAAAUCCUUUGACAAAGAAACAUAACAAACUAGGAGGUGUUACAUCAAAGAAAGAAGCAUUGCAGCUGGAGAAUAUGAGAUAAUUAUUAACUAAACAUAUCUAAAUUCUAAAAGCUCCAACUUUGGGUUCAAAAUCUUACUAUUUUCUUAUUUUCAAGUUCAACUACAUUGCAAAUCCAGUAACAAUAAUUAGAUCAAUUGUACUCGACUUUGAUUUUCACCAACCAACAACAUGAAUUCAUAUGAAGAGAAUAAAUAAAAUAAAAAGCAUAAAGGGAGAACAGGAUACCAUUUUGCAGAAGCAUACCAAAAAUUCUAAAAAUCUCACUUCUUGUUGGUGAGAAUAAAGAGAGACGAGAGUUGCCAAGCUAAAUACCCCGUUUGUUCUUUAUUGUGCUGGUGGUAAUUUAUAUAUUCUGUAAUAAACGCAAGCUAAUUACGAGUUUAAAUCAUUUCAAAAAAACAAUUACAGAGUUUAAUAAAGAAUUACCUACUGUGUCGGGUGAUUCGAUCAGCAUAAGAACAGAUUCAUCUUCAUGAACACUGACCACUUUAUUGAUCAGCUCAAUCAUCUCAAUCAACACUAGUAAUCUCCAAAUAAUCCAAGACCCACCACACAAUUGCCUCAGCAGCAUUUGUGGGCUCCCAAAAGGUCAGGGGGUGGGUGUGCAAACGACUUCUUCACAUUGUAAAUCCUAUCAUUUGCAAUCAAUCCAACCUAAUUAACGCACAUUCCACAUUCGUAUUAACAUAUGUGCCAUUUGAUAAAUCCGAAUAAUUACCUACAACAGCAAGUAUAGGUAUCGCCCAAGAUCAAAAUUGUGUCUGUAAAAGGUGGUCGUCUCGCCGGCAGACCUGUACUCCCCCAAAUUAGGGCAUUUUAUCACGGGAUGAGUAUUUUGCUCAGCUAACUCGUGCGGCAUUUAGACAACUUUGCCGAAUGUUGCUAAGUAAGCCUUGAGUUUCUCGAACUAGAGAAGAGAGUAAUGGAGCCGAAUGAGGAAAAUUGUAUUGCACAAAGAGAGAUUACAAUGCUUGAGUUGCUUAUAAUGUUUGUUGUAGUGUUUGUUGGAUGCAAAUGCCUAAUGUCAUCCCAUAUUUAUAGGGGAGGCUUGACAAGCUCUAGAGAUUCUAGAGAAAUCUACCAACUAUCUAGAAUUUACAUGUGCUGGAAAUGCAUAGAGAAUUCUAGAAUAUUUACAAGCUCAAUGUACUAGAGUUGCCUAGAACUUUUUGGAAUUGGGCCAAGCUAGGACUCUUGGCCUUGUGUUGGCUCUCUAGCCCAAAAUUGUGGGCAAUUGGGCUAGCAUCUUAGGCGGACCGUAACAUCCUCCCCCACCUAAGCUCGCGGCGUCCUCGUCGCGAUCUCGUCCUUACUCCUUUAGGGACUUGUUCCGCAAUUUGCCGUUAGUCUUCUUGUGCUUCACUCUUGGGGAGGUUCCGCCAGUUGCUCCGCAUUUGGUCGUUUCCUUCUUUUGGUUGGUGUUGCGGCGUCCCUUCUUGUGUUUCUGCAACCCCUUAUGCUCGGAUGGCUUUGUGCAUUGCUCAGCCACUCGUCUCGGUGGGAGCUUCGGAGGCAUAGCGUCCUUGCCUUUGUCAUGGACGGCUCGUCCUUGUUGUGGGACUUGGCUUGGAGGGCUUUCGGAAUCCUCUCUCUUGCGGUGUUGCCGGAUGGAGACCAAGUGGUCCGGAUUCUUCUUGAAUCCUCGUUUGCAUUGCAUGACCGAGAGCGCCUUUUUUGCGGGUUGUGCGCGCUCGACCGGUACCACGCAUGCCUUACUUCCAUCGAAGAUGCUAAGGGAAUUCGUUGCAGAGAGUGGGAAGGCAUGUACCUUUUCGAGGAAUUCCAUACCAAGGAUCAUUACGAAAUCAUCCAUCGGCACAAUCAAGAAGUCGAGCUUCCUAUUCCAUGUCCCAAGCGUAACGUAUCCCACAAAUGGCUUGGCAGGUGAAUUUACAGCCUUGAUAGUGCCUCUGUGCUGCAUUACCUUGAGGCCUAGACACUUACCCUUUUUUUAGAGAUGAAGUUGUGCAUUGCUCUGGUGUCAAGGAGCGCACAAACGGUUCGGCCAUUGAUGAGCACACUUACGAACAUGAGCCCUUUCCUUGUAGGUGCUGGCGGUUGGCUCACGAGUGUGCUAAGGCGCGUUGGAGCGAACCCAAGUUGUGGUGAGAUUCCUCCGCAGUCGGUGUGUGUUGGCCCUUGAGUUGUGCCACGAGGGCAUUCAACGACUUUUUCUCCGGGAAGUCGCGCACCUAAUGAGGGCCAUUGCAAAUGAAGCAUGGGCUUCGAGGCUUAGGUGGCUUCUCGAACUUACUUUGCCCGCCCUUGCUGCUUGGAGGCUUUUUCUUGCUCCAUUCCUUGCAAUUGCGGUCGUUGUCCUCAUGGCUCUCUCCCCCACCUUGGUCGUAGCUAGACCUCUUAUCCUUGAGAUGGGCGGAGUAUUCGGUGAGCGACUCCGCAACGGCAAUGGCGUCGUCAAGUGUUUGUAUGCCACGCCUAUCAAGCUCGGUCUUGGCCCAAUUCUUGAGGCCAUCUUGGAAGUAGAAGAGCGAAUCCUUGUCGGACUUAUUCCUUAUCUCCAACAUAAGGGUAGUGAACUCAUUGAUGUAGUCCCGAAUGCUACCCGAUUACUUGAGGCGAUGUAAGCGCACUUGCGCUUCCUUCUCCGUAUUGCUUGGGGCGAAUUGCUUUCGAAAUUCUUGCUUGAAGUCGGCCUAAGUGUCGAUGGUGCAAAUGCCCUUGCCCAUCUCGCCAUGCUUGUGACGCCACCAUAAUUGUGCAACGCCUCUAAGAUGGGUGGGUGCAGUGCCCACUUUCGAUGCCUCAUCUCGGACACUCAUGGCAUCGAAGUAUUGAUCCAGCCCAAAUAGGAAGUUGUCCACGAUUGUGGCAUUGCGUGUGCCAUCGUAAGUGUCGGGUUUUGGCACGUCAAUGCGGCGUGCAUCACUCGAGUUUGGGGAAGCUAGACUUGUGGAGAGUGUGCGCUUGUGCCAUACCCAAUCCGAGCGGACUUCAUCCACUUCCGCACGGAUAGCGCGUAGUUCGUCCUGAACAAAACUACGAAUUUUGAGCAACUCAUCAUGAAAAGAACAAAACUCACCUCGGAGAGUGUUCGCUUGCUCUUGGAUGAGAGCUUUCGUUGCCACCGUGAACUCGGCGUAUUCUCCCUCGAGACCGUCCACUCGUUCCUCCAAUCCCUCGAGGCUUUCUUGAGCGGCGGACAAUGUGAUUUCGAGAGUAGUCACACGAGGCUCCAACGCAUCCACGGAUGGGGCCUUGGACUUGCUGCGAGUCUUGCCUUGGGCGCGUUCUCCCUCUCGGCUGCAGCUUGGUUCUGAUGGAACAUCCACACCAACAACACCCUCUUGUGCUACGUUCGAAGGGUUGGCCAUUGCUUCGUGAGCUAACUUGCGUGUGUGCAAACCUUAGCUCUGAUACCACUUGUCACGGGAUGAGUAUUUUGAGCAGCUAACCUGUGCGACACUUAGACAACUUUGCCGAAUAUUGCUAAGUAAGCCUUGAGCUUCUCGAACUAGAGAAGAGAGCAAUGGAGCCGAAUGAGGAAAAUUGUAUUGCACAAAGAGAGAUUACAAUGCUUGAGUUGCUUAUAAUGUUUGUUGUAGUGUUUGUUGGAUGCAAAUGCCUAAUGUCAUCCCAUAUUUAUAGGGGAGGCUUGACAAGCUCUAGAGAUUCUAGAGAAAUCUACCAACUAUCUAGAAUUUACAUUUGCUGGAAAUGCAUAGAGAAUUCUAGAAUAUUUACAAGCUCAAUGUGCUAGAGUUGCCUAGAACUUUCCGGAAUUGGGCCAAGCUAGCACUCUUGGCCUUGUGUUGGCUCUCUAGCCCGAAAUUGUGGGCAAUUGGGCUAGCAUCUUAGGCGGACCGUAACAAUUUGCCCUCUUCACAACACGUCUGAGGCUUCAAUUCGCCCAUUUUUUUUCUUCCUCUGAUGAAGGAAUCGCCUCCUAUUUGGUCUUUGCCAGGGGCUUCUUUCGCUUAUCACCUUGGCUUCUUUUUACAGAACAGUCAACGUGCGUUUUCAGAUAUAACUUAUAUUUUCUUAACCGGCUUCUCCGAUAUUCUUUAAUACAAAUGUGACCAUCCCUGAAGCAUUCGAUCGGUUGGCUUUAAAUCUAUCGGUUACAUUCAAUGAGGACAAAAAGUGUUGCACGUUGCAACUGUUACAACAUAGGAGGACCCUAUAAAUUAAUUUAACAUAAAAAUAUAUUUGGCAGGUGUUAAGAUAAUUUAAGAAUAAUUAGCGCAUUAAUCAACAUUGUAAGUGAAAAACUACUAAUUUUAUUAUUAUUAAAUGUACAAUUUUUAAUGUCAAUUAGCUUACUUAACAACUUUUGUGCUAGAAGUUAUCUAAAUAUCUCACAGGUUACUAUGCAACAUACUCAUCCUGUGACAACAUGCUAGCUUUUUGAAGCUUAGAAAGCAUAUUGCUUGGAUACUAUUGGAUUUAUGCCCAAAAAUAAAUUAAUAUAAGUUUUUAAUUUGAUGUCCAAUGUUUUUGUACAUGUUAUUUUUAACCAAAACAAAGAGUUAAACUAUUAAGGCUCCGUUUGGGAUUAAAAUUGGAUAGCUGUAACUUAAAAGUUAUAGCAUCAAAUUGUUUGGUAACUUUAAUUGCUAUAACUUGGAAGGUAAGUUGAUUUGAUUUUACAUUUAUAUGAUGAAAAAUCUAUUAUAUAUUUAUUAAUUUUUUUAAAAUUAUUAUUUAAAAAUUAUAUUUACUACGUACUAUUAACUUUUAAUUCAUUAUUACAAAUUUUUUUUUCUACAAUAGUUAUAAUUUAAAAACUACAAUAUCUCAAUACCAACCAUGACCUAGAACAUUAAUAAAAUAGUAUAAUAUAUUAUCAUAAAUACAAAUUUAUAUUUUAUAUCAUUUAAAAGCUUAUUUUUAAAACGAAAAAGUAUAUCAGAAAAGUUAGAGAAUACAGUAUCAAUAAAGUGCUAUGGAAACGGGAGCCAUUCGAUUAUGCUUAAGAAAAUGUCAAAGUUGCAGUUCUACCAUACUGGGCCCCAGCGAAAAUUAAAAUGUGCUUCAUUCUAAAAUAUAUAUUAAUGCUUGAUUCGACCCAACCGAAUGCCUUUUUCUUAUUUUAUUUUCUUGUAAAAUGAAAAAAAAAAUUAUAGGUAAAAAAGAGUACCACACUCACCUCAAAAACUUAUCAAUUUCAAAUCAUUUAUUCAUUCUCGCACAAACAAAAUGCCGAAGUUACAAUUCUACUGGCCAUUAGCAAAAACAAAAGUGGAAAAUGUAAGUGUAAAACGUGUUUCAUUUUCUUCUUUAUGUGUUUUUCUUAAUUUAUAUUCUUGCAAAAUAUAAAAUAAUAAGAGUAAAACAGUAUGAUUCGCAUCCUGUGUUAAAUUGAGUACAUCUCAAUACAACACAUUAAAAUUCAUUUUAAUUAAUCCAUUUUAUAUCAUUCUUGUGUCAUUGGUUGCUCUUAGGGUUAAAUAUCAUUAUUCAGCAUUGAAGUAUCCAUAAAUCCUUCAAUGAUCCAAAUAUAAAUGAAAUAAUGAUUUAAAUUAUACCUGAUUUUUUAGAUUGUGUAAAAUUCCUUCUUGUCUUCAACAUCUUCUCCACAAACGUAUCUUAAGUGUGUACUUGAGAAGGCACUCCAACACUCUUGUCAGUUUUAUAUUUAGUGAAUUUUAAUAAAUCUAGAGUUGGUUUUUCUCUACCAGAUGAGAAAAUAGCCAAAAGAUAAUUUUUCAAUCCUUUUACCUCAUAUUUAUGAACCAAAAAGAGGGGAUUUGGUGAAUAGUUAUAAUUUAAAAACUACAAUAUCUCAAUACCAACCAUGACCUAGAACAUUAAUAAAAUAGUAUAAUAUAUUAUCAUAAAUACAAAUUUAUAUUUUAUAUCAUUUAAAAGCUUAUUUUUAAAACGAAAAAGUAUAUCAGAAAAGUUAGAGAAUACAGUAUCAAUAAAGUGCUAUGGAAACGGGAGCCAUUCGAUUAUGCUUAAGAAAAUGUCAAAGUUGCAGUUCUACCAUACUGGGCCCCAGCGAAAAUUAAAAUGUGCUUCAUUCUAAAAUAUAUAUUAAUGCUUGAUUCGACCCAACCGAAUGCCUUUUUCUUAUUUUAUUUUCUUGUAAAAUGAAAAAAAAAAUUAUAGGUAAAAAAGAGUACCACACUCACCUCAAAAACUUAUCAAUUUCAAAUCAUUUAUUCAUUCUCGCACAAACAAAAUGCCGAAGUUACAAUUCUACUGGCCAUUAGCAAAAACAAAAGUGGAAAAUGUAAGUGUAAAACGUGUUUCAUUUUCUUCUUUAUGUGUUUUUCUUAAUUUAUAUUCUUGCAAAAUAUAAAAUAAUAAGAGUAAAACAGUAUGAUUCGCAUCCUGUGUUAAAUUGAGUACAUCUCAAUACAACACAUUAAAAUUCAUUUUAAUUAAUCCAUUUUAUAUCAUUCUUGUGUCAUUGGUUGCUCUUAGGGUUAAAUAUCAUUAUUCAGCAUUGAAGUAUCCAUAAAUCCUUCAAUGAUCCAAAUAUAAAUGAAAUAAUGAUUUAAAUUAUACCUGAUUUUUUAGAUUGUGUAAAAUUCCUUCUUGUCUUCAACAUCUUCUCCACAAACGUAUCUUAAGUGUGUACUUGAGAAGGCACUCCAACACUCUUGUCAGUUUUAUAUUUAGUGAAUUUUAAUAAAUCUAGAGUUGGUUUUUCUCUACCAGAUGAGAAAAUAGCCAAAAGAUAAUUUUUCAAUCCUUUUACCUCAUAUUUAUGAACCAAAAAGAGGGGAUUUGGUGAAAGAUUUGAUUUUAUAUUUAAAUCUCUAGUGUUCUUUCUAUUUUUAUUUUUAUUUUAUGUCAUUAGAUUUAUAGUUGUUUUUUGCUAUAUUUUAGCUUUCGUCACAUGAUUUUGUUAGCAAUUAUGUGCCUUUCAUUGUUAUAUUUUUGGAUUAGAUCAUCAACAUUUUUCAGGGUUUCUUAUGAAUUGUCAUGAAAUUCUUUUGUACAGGCACUUACAUUCAUAUAUUUCUUUUUUUCCGCUGCAAUUUUUUUGUUUAAUUUUUGUGUUUUAAUAAAAGAAAAAAGUUUUCAAAUAACUUGCAUGUGAGAAAUAAUUAAUUAAAAACAAAUUUUUGUGUAUCCUCCAUUAACUAGGUCUUUGUUUUUGGCACUUGGAAUUUCGUUUGUUUGAAGUAUUGUGUGUGUAUAUAUAUUUUAAUUUUGCAUAUUCUUCUUAAGCCACGUCUAUUUUCACAUUUUUGCUUCAUUUAGACAUUUGGCAUUGCUUUCAAAACCAAUAAAAUUUGGGCGCAUUUGGUUUGUCUUAUAAAGAGAGUGACACUCUACUUGGACAUGCGGAGUUGAAAAUUGCCAAUUGGGAGAGGGAGAACUUGAUUGAAUGAACUACAAGAUGCAAUGAAGUGCAGUCUAUGCAUACAAUUGAAUAUCAUUAUCUAUUGGUUAUGAGAAGUAGAGGAAUAUAUUUGCAGUGUAGUUUUCAAAUUAUCGGGAUGUUAUACUGUUGUUAUCUCGGAGAGCGGAUUUACAACGGAAAUUUCAGGGGUGUUAAAAGCUUGACUCACAAAAUUAAAGCGAUAGUUUGAAUUGGUCUUAAAUUUGAUGGGUGUGGAUUUGGGCUGAUGCCUGAUAUUGUGGACACUGGGUUCGAGAGACAGAGAUGGAUCUGCUAUAGACCCGCCCAUUCCCAUUUGUCGGGUUUUGUCCAUUGACAAUUCAAACUUGAAAGUCGUCUUCCUCCCAUGGGGAACAAAGAGAGAAAUUUUCAGGACGUUUACGGGAAAAGGAAAGAGGGAAAAAAGCAAAAGACAAAAAGGGGAACCUCGUAGCUUCUACGAUACUUCCAAAACUCAAUGGGAUGUAUGCAUUGCCAUGUCCUCACCUUAUAGAAAGUCUGGUCAGCCCCUUUUGAAAUGAAGAGUAUUUGUCCCCCCCUUUUUUUAAUUUUUUUUUGGCAAUUCACAAAUAAUAUAUUGCACUUUGUUUGUAGUAUUAUUCUCAACUGAACAUGGGAUAACUCUUUUAAAGGGGUAGUUUAAAUUUUCUGCUACAAUUAUAACACAACAAAUUAGAUCUGAAAUAUUUUUUAAAAUUUCUUUCAAAAACAUAUGUGAGAGACAGAAAAAUUUAUAUUAGUAACUCGGGACUUACAAUUAAUUCAACCACUUGGAAUGGAAGUUGUCACCGUUGAGUACCGGUAAGGCAAGAGAAAUUGUAGAAUACCUCAAAUAUAUUACAACCAAUUAAUGCAUGUAUGAUAUGUGUAAUUGAAUUAAUUUAACCACCACUUGCAUGAUAGUAGUUCAAAAUAAAUAUACACAUGUCAUGGCAUCAUUGCUUGUUGUAUGGGUGAUAUGAUGCCUCAAAUGUAUUCUAAAAUUUCUCGUAAAGCAGACAUAGAUUAGCGUUCCAACCAAACAUUAGUCUUCCAUCUCUAAUAAUCAAAAUCAAUCCUAAUAAUUAUAGCCGUAAUAAAAAAUUUCACUAAAGAAACUAUAUUUCCAAGCGUUGUUUUUAAAAUACGGAUUCGAGAUUUUACAAUAUUGUAAAAGAUUUUUAUAAUCUGUAAAAUUAAUUUACAGCAUUGUAAGAGCUAUAUAUAUAUAUAUUCACGAACAAUUGUAUUUCGUAAAAACUUUAUAUGUUAAUCAAUAUUAUUCAAAUGUCCAGUAUCUUUUUUUUGAAUUUUUUGUCUUAAAAUUUUGUUAAAAAUGUGCCCAGCUGGAUCUAGUUAUGGCACCCGAUUUGUUGUGCUAUGUAAUAUGUGUUUAUUUUCCUGGAUCUAGUUAUGGCACCCGAUUUGUUGUGCUAUGUAAUAUGUGUUUAUUUUCAUUAUUAAUAGAUGUUGUAUAUAUCAACCUAGAUAUCUUGUCAAUUGAAGCAAUUGGUCUUAUGCAAGUCCAACAAAGUCGUAUAUGUAAUAUGUUGACAUUUAAGUUCGAACAUUAUAAAAUUCUAAAUUUUUUAUUAAAUUGAAGGUAUUGAAGAAGUAUGUAUCUGCAUUGCCCAUUUCCCCUGAAUUAUCCAUCACAAUUUCCUUUCUUCUCUACGUAGAGAUGCCGCGUUUUCGUGUAAUUCAUUCCACUGGAAAUUACACGGAAGGGGAAAGAAAGAGGAAAGUUCUUGGAUUUUUACUUUUUCUUUUUUCUUUUUUAAUUAUACAUACAAUUAAUUUACAUAUACAUAUAUAUAGACGGAUGAAGAAACCCCACCCCAGAAAGAGAGAAAAGUUGUAAUUAAUUAACAAUGUAAGAGUGAUGUGAGCUCAACUGCGAGAUGGGAAGAAGAAUGUAACACAUAAACACAGUGUGAGUGUCUGUCAAUUGUCAUGGCUAACUUGGAGAAGUUGUUUCAGGAAGCUUGCCAAAGAAACGAUGUCGAAGGAGUCAAGUCAUUAAAUUCAAAGCAUCCGAAUUUACUGGAUGAGAUUAUUAAAGCAUGCCAACGCUCGGAUGAUCCUCUGCUCAUCACCGCCUGCUUGCCUGGAAGCCUUGAAGUCGCUAAAGAAAUGGCAAGGCUGUGGCCUCAACUUGCCAGUAUUAAAAAUCAGCGAGGUGAAACAACCAUGCACUUACUUUCUACGGAUGGGGAUGCCGAGACGGUUCGGAUUUUCGGAGAGAUUAAUCGUGAACUGUGCCUUGAAGUAGACAACUCUUCAAUGAUACCGCUACACAGAGCAGCUUUGGAUGGUAAUUCUGAUGUUAUUAGGGCUUUAGUUUCUAUUUGCCCGGAGUCGCUUGAGAAGUUGACUUCAAAUGGAGAGACGGCCCUUCACCUUGCUGUGAAGAAGUCCCGAUCGGACGCCUUUGAAGCCUUGGUGGAUGAGGCUAAGAAUCACAGAAAAGAGCAUCUCUUCACUUGGAAAGACAAGGAGGGCAAUACAGUAUUGCACCUCGCCACACUUAACAAGUUAAAGCAGGUAAGCUCUGUCUCUUGCAAACACAUUUUUUUGAAUUUUGAUUGCCAAAACAUAACGCAUGCCUUGACAAUCCUGUCGCGUUCAUUGCAGAUAGUGGAGCUACUCAUCCGUGAGAAUUCCAAUAGGCGCAUAAUGAUUCGAAUUAAUACCGUGAAUAAGGAGGGACAAACAACCUUACAGUUAUGCAAUGCUAAUUCUCAGGAUUCUGCUUUCAAGGAAAUAGGCUGGAUCAUUCAACGAGCUAUUGCUCAGCAAUCUCCGCAGCUCCCUGCAGAUGGAGCCGCCAAUAGCAGCAGGAACCAAACACGGUGGCCCAUGCAGACAAGAAACGUGUUAUUGAUGGUAGUAGUAACGAUUGCUGCAGCAUUUUUCAUGGUAGCUUGCCAUUUGCCAGAUUCCUUAGUCAGAGAGGAUACUCUUGCCGGUAAAAGUCUUUAACUAAAUUAUUAUUUUUCUUUUGGUAGUGUUUACAAUUUGCUAAGGAGGAUUAUCUUGCAGUUAAAACAUUGCAUGCUGAUGAGGAUGACGUACUCAGUAAGUUGCCAACCGUUGUCUACAUCAUGAUUUUCAACUCUGCUGGGUUCUUGACAACCAUGUUUGCCAUUGUAUUGCUCGUAUGGCCGUUGCAUUUGAGAACAUUUGUGCUCUUUCUUGUAAUCUGCACGGCCAUCGUUUAUAUUCUCUUAGUGGACGAGAUCAUACCUAAAUUCUAUGUGAAAGUUGGGAAAUCAAGCAUCUUAAGCAAUGGGUUGGUGUGGUCAUUAGUCCUUGCCCUCAUUUUGUUCGGAAUGUCUAUACUAAGUAUGGGGAAAUUCACUUUGUCCUUUUGGCGCUUCAUUAUCCGUUUGUGGAUGAAUAGAACCAAUCGCAGGGGCAACAGUCAUGAAGAUCUUCGCGAAAUCACUGCCCUAUAGUUAUCAAGAGGCUUAAAUCAUUGCCGACUACCUGGUUAAUUUAGCCCUUGCUUGUCAUAAUUUCACUUGGUGGGAUGCUCCGCAUCCUUAAAUGUCAAAGAUGCUUUUUAUGAUGCUAAUGGUUUCCCCUGUCAUCAAUUUUACAUAGUUUAUGUUGUUUCAUCUCCUUUUAUUUCUCCAUUGUAAUAGACUUUUCGAGAUUUUUAAGGGAUUUAAGAGUGUAAGUGACAUAUCAUGUUGCCAUGAGAAGCUUCAAAUAUGUCUUCUAACAAAAGGAAGUUAGCUUGCAUAUAAUGAUCUCUUUCUAAAUGGGACACUCGUUAGUUUACGCACAAAAGAAAAAAUCACUAUUAAGAUUCUAAUCUGUUUCAAGACACUGGCUUUCUCUCAUUUCCAGUCCUCAUUUCUCUCUCUGCCUUUACCCGGACAGCCAUUUAGUCUCAGGGCUCAUCUUGCACAGGAGUUCUUUUCUCAUUAACCCAGAACACGGCUUUGUCCCUCUUACAGACAAGCCAAUUCUUGCGCCCUUUAAAUGCCUUAAUGUUUUGAAAUAUUUGUUCAGGUUUACGAAUUGAGCAAUCUUCUCAUGGGUUUCUAUUUUGUUCCAGCUUUGACUAUAGCAACUAGAAUUACAUUUAUAUACAAUCCUAUGACGAAGCAAUUUGCUGUACUUCCUCUACCUAGCGGCCAAAUUGUCCAAUGACGUUAGUUUAGCUUAUGAUCCUGUAAAGUCACCCCACUAUAAAUUUGUCUAUUAUAAACUUGUAUGUGUUGAUGGUUUUCAAUCAUCUGUUCCUGUAGAAGAUGAUUACCUCAAUUAUGAAAUUGAAAUAUACUUGGGGGCUCUCUGGCUGAUGAAACAUAAUUAGCUUGAGGGGUUAAUUAUAUAUUUCAGGCCAUCAAGCUAAAACACAAAAAGACUCUUCUCAGUCAGGGGUUAUAUCUCACACAUGAACCCAAAUACAUAACUUGUCAAUUAACACAAUUGGUUACGUGAUUGGUUACUCUUUUUCCUCUAGCAGUACCCAAAAACUCUGUUUCAUUUGUCUUGCUGAAAUUAGCCCUACUUCUGAUCAUUGAAGUUAUAUAGAAUUACUGGAUCGGUGGCUGCAAUGUUUAUGUACCCAGGUGAAUUUAGGUAGUUAUAAACUAAAGUAGAACUACUAGUGAACCAACUAUAAAAGCUUUAUUGAUAACCAUGCCUGCUGGCAUGAUAGUUUUUCAGACUCUGUUCAUAUUUCACAUUCGUAAUUUAUUAAUACAGCAGUGUCAUGCAUUAAACACACCAGACAUCUUAAUAAUAAAAAUAGGAACUUAAUUGUUUGCUCACACCACAUCCAUAAUGAGCUUAAUUAUUGCAAUAAUGUGUCGCAUGCCAAAGAAAAUAUAUCAAGUUAUCUUCCAGGAACCUUAAAAUGUUGAGUAGAAUGAGCUCAAGUGAGGCUUUGUGAGGCCAGAUAUUAUGCACAUGUAAGCACCGAGCAUUGAAAAUGCAGAUACAAGAAGCAAUGGCCUAAGUGGAAGCUUAUUGAAGAGAAUCAUCAUUGUAGAAACCGAAGGGCACUUCUUUACUAGACACCUUAAGUUUCUGCCCAAGAUCUUUGACCCAGACUCCUAGAUGCUUCUAUAGAUGAUUUGAAGAAACUUUAACCAAGAACUUAGAGGAACAAAUCAACAAUGGUUUAAGAAUCACAAACAUAUUAAAGGCUUAAAGAAUCAACAAACAGAAAGAAUAAAGAACAGGAGUGAUUAACAUGGUUAAGCUAAUUCUCAUUAGCCUACAUUCACGGAGGAACAAGAUAACAUGCUUUUAUUGAUUGAUCUUCAAGCGACAGAGAUUUACAGAGUAUAUUUCAUAGAAUUUCAUCACCUCUCUUCAGAGUUGUAACUCCUUAUAUACUCCUCAGCUCGUCACCAGUUUGUUACACCAGAAUCAGCUACAUCCAGCUGCUUAUAACCACCUGGGUGCUGAUUCUAGAAACUCACGUGAGAAUGACACUUCAUCAAUGACUUUUAACAACCUUGUUAAUAGCUUCCCAUUCACGUGCGUCUCAUGUGCUGCAUUAAUCCAUAAACGAUAACCUAUAACAUUGUUUUAGUAAGUGUUGAAUUUGAACAACCAAAACGCACUUUCUCAGGUCGUUUCGAAGCCAUUGAAUUGAUUUCACUAGUUACAUUACAAAUCUCCACCUUGAAACAAUUCAUCCCUGUUCAUCUUUCUCCUCAAAUUCAUGCAAAUUAAAAACUGCAUAUUCCAGCUAUGUCCAUGCAGGUCUUGAACUUAGUUGUAGGUACCACCUUUGUAAGCAUAUCAGCAGGAUUGUUGCUGGUAUGUAUCUUUACCAUCUUCAUAACUCCCUUAGAUAUUACAUUCUUUAUAAAAUGUAGCUUGAUGUCGAUAUGCUUGGUUUUCUCAUGAUGAGCUGGAUUUCUGCUCAAAUAGAUGGCACUCGAGCUGUCACAGUGGAUGUCAACAACCUUCUGUAACUCACUGACCAAGCCUUUAAGUUAUAGAGCCUCCUUGACAGCUUCUGAGGCUGUAGUGUACUCAGCCUAUGUAGUUGAUAAGGCCACAGCAUGUUGCAGACUUGCUUUCCAGCUUAUUAGGCAUCCAUUCAACAUAAACAUGUUUCCAGUUAAUGACCUCCUUCUGUCUAAAUCUCCAGCGUAAUCAGAGUCAACAUAGCCCCAUAAACCAGCUUUAUUUUCCUCUUGUUUCUUUCCAUACAUCAGCUCAUACUCCAAAGUUCCAUUCACAUAUCUCAUCACUCAUUUAGCUGCCUUUCAAUGCUAUUUCCCAGGUGAUGCCAUAUACCUGCUUACCAAGCUUAGAGCAUGUGAAAUAUUUGGUCUUGUGAGGACCAUUGCAUACAUCAUACACCCCACUGCAUUGGCAUAAGGCACUUUUAACAUCUCUUGCUUUUCUUCACUUAUCUUUGGACACUGCUGGUUCGAGAGUUUGAAAUGAGAGGCCAAAGGAGUUAACACUGGUUUACAGUAAUUCAUCCCAAAUGUGUUGAGUACUUUUUCCAAGUACUUUUUCUGAGAUAAGAACAUAGUUCCAUUUCUUCUAUCUCUUGUGAUUUCCAUGCCCAAAAUCUUUUUGGCAUGUCCCAAAUCCUUCAUAUCAAACUCAGAGUUCAGCAUCUGUUUUAAGGCUUCAAUUUCCUCCCCCACUUUACAAGCAAUCAACAUAUCAUCCACAUACAGUAGUAGGUAUAUGUGACGAUCUGAAUCUAUUUUCUUGUAGUAUACACGACAAUUAAAAUUACACCUCAUAAAUCCAUGUGACACCAUGAACUCAUCAAACCUGAGGUACUAUUGCCUUGGGGAUUGCUUCAAGCCAUACAAUGACUUCUUCAGUAAGUAGACAUGAUCAGGGUGUUCAGAGCAUACAUAUCCCUCAGGUUGAGUCAUCAGAAUCUCCUCUUGUAAUCUGUCAGGUAAGAAGGUUGUUUUGACAUCGAGUUGAUUAAGUUCCAUGUCAUAUAUUGUUGUUAAAGCUAAUAAUACCCUUAUUGAGACAUGUCUGACCACUUGUGAGAAGACUUCUUUAAAAUCAACCCUUUCUUUUUGUGUAUACCCUUUUGCUACUAGCCUAGCUUUGAAUCUCCUAGGCUCAUCAACUGUCAGCCCCUCUUUCAUCUUGAAAAUCCACUUGCACCCAACAACCCUUAUUUUCUCAGGUUUCUUUACCAAUUCCCAGGUGUUGUUCUUGUAUAAUGAAUUUAUCUCAUCAUUCAUAGCCUUCUGCCACUCUGAUUUAUAUGAACUCUACAUAGCCUCUCUAUAGCUUUUGGGCUCAUCUUCAUCAAUCUCAUGUGAUGCAGCCAGUGCAUAUACAAUGAGGUCAGUGUAACCAUAUCUUUGGGGAUGUCUUAUUUGCAUUGUCUUUCCAUCUUUAGUCAGAUGAUAGUCUCUAAGUUGAGUUUGUGUAUGCUCUUAAGAUUGUGCCUCAAUGUUCCUACUACUGUCAUCUUCACCCCCAUCAGAAUCUACAGCUUCUUGAGAGGGCUUCUGAUCUGAAUACUCCACCUCAAACUGUAUACUUUCAAGUGUUUUACCCUGAGGUUUAACAUUAUUAUUUAGUGACCUUUUGUUGAGCACAAUUUCUUCAUUAAUGAUCACAUCCCUGCUGAUGAUGCACUUUGGUAGGGAUAAAUUUGUGCAACAUAACUUGUAAUCCUUUACACCAUCUGGAUACCCUAUAAACUUACCCCUUAGAGCUCUUGGAGAUAAUUUCCCUUGCUUAACAUGUGCAUAAACAUCAUAUCUAAAGGCUUUAAGGUCAUUAUAGUUACCAGGUUUUCCAAACCACAUUUCAAAUGGUGUUUUAAAGUCGAUUACAGCAGAUGGGCUAAGAUUCACUAGAAGACAAAAUGUUAGCAAGGUUUUUGCCCAUAGCCCCUUAAGAAUUGUGACUAUAUCAUCAUACAUCUGACUUUCUCUAUUAAAGUCUUGUUCAUCCUCUCAGCUAGGCCAUUUUGUUUUAGAGUUAACCUUACUGUUCUAUAUCUUGUAAUCUCUUCAUUUGCACAGAAACUAUCAAACUCUUGAUUACAAUAUUCAAGGCCAUUGUCUGUCUUUAGUUUUUUAACCAUUUUGUCAGUUUGAUUUUUUACCACAGCUUUCCACUCUCUAAAUUUCCCAAACACCUGAUAUUUAGCUUUCAGCACAUACAGCAAAACUCUCCUAGAGUAGUCAUCUAUCAUGGUCAUAAAGUAUCUAUUCCCUCCCAGAGAUGGAACCUGAGAUGGACCCCAAAGGUCUGAAUGUAUAUAUUGCAAAAUUUCAGUGGUCUUAUGUAUUGAUUUCUUAAAGCUAUUCCUAGUAAAUUUUCCUAGAAUGCACUCUUCACAGAAGAUUAGCUCCCCAAUCUUAUCAUUCUCCAGAACACCUUGUUUUUCAAGUUCUUUCAGACCUUUGAUACUCAUAUGCCCAAGCCUUAAAUGCCAUAGCUUAGUUUUGUCUAUCUCAAUGCUUUCAAUGGCAUUAGAGACCCCUGUUACAGACUCCCCAUCUAAGACAUAAACCUCAUUAUUUCUUGUUCCUUUCAUAAUCAGUGUGGAACCAUUUAGAAUCUUCAACUCCCUUGAUUCAAGUUUAAUGCUACAUCCCAUUUGAUCCAUCAUUCCCAAGGAGAUCAAAUUCUUUUUAAGUUCUAGAAUAUGUCGUCUAACUUCCUUUAUGGACUCAUCAUGUAGCUUAAGGUGGAUUUUACCCAUCCCAAUGACUUUACACACUGAAUUAUUACCCAUCAUUACUCUUCCUCCAUCAAAUUCAUGAUAAUAAGAAAAAUAACUCUUGUAUGGACUCAUAUGAAAAGUGCAACUAGAGUCAAGAAUCCAAUUACCCUUUUACAUAUCCUCAGUAGUAGCACACACACUUGCUGACUCAUAUCUUUCCUCUUCUUCAGCAGUAGCUGCAUAUCUAAUUUUCUCCAUUUUCUUAUUCUUUAAUUCUGGGCAAUCCUUCUUAAAAUGUCCUUCCGUAUGAGAAUGAAAGCAUUUCAAGUCCUUUGGCUUAGUUUUAGUCUUGAUUGCUUUUUAUUCUUAGCUGCAUUUUUAUUCUUAUCAAUUUUCCCAUUUACUGUUAACCCUACUCCACUUUCUAUACUCACAGAUUUUUCUUGCAACCCUCUAGUAUUUAAGGCUGCCUUCACCUCAUCCAAAGACAAUGUCUGCCUCUUAUACAUUAGGGCAUCCAGUACCGUACAUCCGCCUUGGCCGUACAGCAAAGAAAAAUAUUUUUCAAUGUGAUUAAAAAAUUAUUAAUAAAAUUUUUGUACUUUUUAUUAUUUUUAAAUAUUUUUCAUAUAAUAAAUAAGUAUUUUAUAUGCCAAAGACAGAUUAUCAAGCAACCGGCCUAUUUACUUCUUUUUGAAUUUAAAAUUUUUUGUGUGGAGAGAUUUUUUAUUAUUAUAAACUGCUGUACCGUACAUCCGCCUGCAACCCUCUAGUAUUUAAGGCUGCCUUCACCUCAUCCAAAGACAAUGUCUGCCUCUUAUACAUUAGGGCAUCCACAAAAUUGGAGUAUGAUGGUGGGAGUGAACUUACCAAGAGCAGAGCUUUACUUUCAUCAUUGAGGAUUUCAUCAAUAGUCUCCAAGGUGUCACACACUCUGUUGAAUUCUUUAAUAUGAUCAUCAAAAGACGAUCCCCCAACAAUCUUUAGAGUAAACAUCCUUUUCUUGAUAUGAAGUCUGUUAGCUAGAGACUUUGUCAUAAAAAUUGUUUCCAGUUUUGCCCACAAAUCAGCCACUGUUUUCUCAUUGGCAACCUCUCUAAUAACAUAGUCUCCAAGACUCAAGAUUAUUGUGCUUCUUGCCCUUUUAUCUAUAUCAGCAACCUGUUGUGGAGUUAGUGACGAUAAAGUUUCCAUUCCCUCUUUCUUGGUGACUGGUUCUAAAGCAUCUCCUAGUCCUUGAGUUAUCAAUAAAGCCUCCAUUUUAACUUUCCACAUAUUGAAAUCAUUCUUGCCUGUAAACUUCUCUAGAUCAACUUUCAGAUUAGCCAUACUAGAAUCUGAUUAAAGACCCGGCUGUGAUACCAAUUGUAGAAACCGAAGGGCGCUUCUUUACUUGACACCUUAAGUUUCUGCCCAAGAUCUUUAACCCAGACUCCUAGAUGCUUCUAUAGAUGAUUUAAAGAAACUUUAACUAAGAACUCAGAGGAACAAAUCAACAAUGGUUUAAGAAAAUCGCAAACAAAUUAAAGGCUUAAAGAAUCAACAAACAGAAAGAAUAAAGAACAUGAGUGAUUAAUGUGGUUCAGCUAAUUCUCAUUAGCCUACAUCCAUGGAAGAACAAGAUAAUAGGCUUUUAUUGAUUGAUCUUCAAGCUACAGAGAUUUACAGAGUAUAUUUCAUAGAAUUUUCUUCACCUCUCUUCAGAGUUGUAACUCCUUAUAUACUCCUCAGCUCGUCACCAGUUUGUUACACCAGAAUCAGCUACAUGCAGCUGCUUAUAACCACCAGGAUGCUGAUUCCAGAAACUCACAUGAGAAUCACGCUUCAUCAACGACUUUUAACAACAAAAAAGAUGGUCAGGGGUGUCGGAUUUCCCGACGUUAACCCUUCGACACUCAAGUCAGAGAUCUUAUGUGAUUUUCUAUAUUGAAGAGAUUAUAUCUAACUCAAAAAGUCCAACCCUUGUUCUGGAUCUUUUUCCCGCUUUUAUAGGCGAUCACGAGCAUCGGUUAUUGUGGCCAUUAUCUAAUUAAAUGCAUUGAUUGUAUCAUUUAAGUGUGUGGGUUAAUAUGUCCAUUUAUACAGUUAUUGGUCAGCCGUUGUAACGCCUGAUUAUGCCUUAAACACGUCUGGAUGUUACAGACCAAUUCCCGAAAGGGACUCAUUGUCUUAACCUGGGAAAAUCAUGUGACCAGCUCAUGGUCUGCUCUAGUCAUACUGGUCGUGUUUGCUACAUGCGACUAGAUAAGUGUUUUAUACAUGCGACCAGAUAACGAAACUCUCCUCGACUUGGCUAAAUCUUAAUACCCAAACAUAAGUCCCCCCCAGUUUUUAGUGCUUUGAGUGAAAUGAAAUAUAACUAGAAACUAUAUACCUGGUUACGAGUCAGUAGUUUCUUUACUCAAACCUAGUCAGGUUUGCAUUCUCUCGUAUUAAAAGCACGUGAUGUGGCUAAACCCGAUCCAAGCGUUGAAAAAGCGAAGUGGUGGCCCUUGGGUUUAUCAAUACAUCUUAUUAUAUCGAUAUGUCUUUUUGAAUCCUUAUUAACGCCAUCUGAAAUGUUGUUUCCCUUUCUAUAAACUCGAGAUAAACUUUUCAAUUAUUCUUCUCCCUUUCCCUCAUCUGAGACUUCGAAUGAGAGCUUUUCCUUUUACAGUCAGAUUUGCAGUACUUGCCUUCUCAGUUACCAUACUUACAGGUAUUGAACUCAUAACUCUAAUCUCACUUGAUUGCCCCUUAUAUCGCUUUUUGUUUCUUUUUGUUUGGGUUUUUAUUCUAUCCACCAUGAUGCCUAGAAUGAAAAGAACAUCAUUAAACCCUGGUAGUGUGUACGAAUUGAAUGCCCUGCCUGAUCAUCCUAGUGGGUUAGGUUCUAGCCCUCGUAGGUCUGUGGAAGGGAUCGAGUCGUCUAGGAUUAGGGAACUUCCUUGGAGGAUGUCCCUCUGAGAGUGUUGAUGAGAUAGAGACGGAUUCCAAUAUGGAUCCUGGUACUAACAUAGUACCGUUUAUUGAUGAAAGUGAAGUCAGUUAUGAAAGCUCCUCGGAGGAGUCUGAUUUAGAGAAAAUUAAGAUUAGUCAUAAGGCUGGAGCUGAGUCUUAUCCCUUUGAUUUCACGAAUUGUGAGACCACUCAUGAAGAUCUGCAUAGGCUUAGGAUGGAAUACAGCAUUCCAGAUGACAUUGAGCUAAGAAUUCCUGGUAAAGGUGAUAUUCCCAAGAGGGUUUGUGACUUUGUAUUUAUAAUGUUUUAAGCUCGGUGUUAGGCUAUCACUCCAGCCUUACUUUACCAAGAUUUUAGGAAGAUUGCACCUAUCACCUAGUCAACUCAACCCUAACGGAUGGAGAGUCCUUUCUGGCCUAUUUGUUCUAUACUGGAGAUGUAGGAUGAUUGUGCCUUCUUUAAAAGAAAUAAAAUAUUUGUAUCAACUCAGAAGUAGUCCAAAAGACACGGGCUGGUAUUACCUCAUGAGCAGUUCAAAACAAAGGAAACCCAUCAUAGAUCUCCCAACCUCUGGUGCAAAUUGAAAGAAUAAUUUUUUCUUCAUCGGAGGUAACUGUGGUCAAGUAGUCUCUACUUCAAAAGGAGAAAUACAUGUUCCUUCUCGCUUUUGCACCCCUGGUUGCUCGCUUUUCACUGUUCUUCCUUUACUAUGUUUAUUGUUUUUUCUGAUCUUGAUUUUUAUGUUCCAGCUUCUUGGAGUCUGAUCUACAAGAUCAAGGAGAAACCAGAAUUGCAUGUUGAAACAGCACUAGCUAACGCAAGCUCGUAUAGGGACUUACUGUCUAUUAAUAACCUGGUCAAUUCUCAUCUAAUAUAUGGUACUUCUGAAGAUAUGAGCAGCAUUCUCGAGCGGAUGAAAAAAUGUAGUCGAACAGACUACACCCCAAGCAGCUCAAUUGCUCCACUUAAGAGAUCACGGUCUUCUAAAGCUGCUUCUCUUGUCUAAACCCUUCCUCAUCCUUCUCCUGGUGAGCCAGAAGAUAUAGCAGAAAAGUCUUCUGCUUGCGAGCUUCCCGCUCCCUCUAGAACCCGAUAUAAGACUGCUUUGCAAGGUUAGAUGAUUGAACUCCCAAGCUCUUUUAAAAAAGACUUUGACAAGUUUGUGAAGCAGGAGUUUAUUGCUGAGCAGAAUAAUCGUCAUGCACCUAAGUUGUACAACACUAUGCAGCGGUGCAUCUACCAGCUUUCUACCAUCAUUUCCUCUCUACAGGUCUAAAGUUGGCAAUUAUGACAAGAAACUGAAGGUCGAAUGAUAAAGUUGGGAUGGAGAAAGAGCAAUCGACCAAACUUGGUUUAAUGAUCGAGAAGCUCAAGGAUAAAGUUGUUUUGUCUGAAUCUACCUCUUCGCACCUUGAAUGUGAACUUUCAGUCAUGAGGAGUGAGCUGAUCAACUAUAAGAAAGAUCUCGACACUCAAAGGUUUGCUUUCGAGCGUUAACUUGAAGCAGAGAUGCACCGCCUCCAAAGAAAAAUUGAUUCUUUGGAAAAGUGGAGUGUCACUUAGUACAACUCUAGAGUAACAUUCUGUUACGAAUGCAUUAUGCUUGUACUCAAGAAGGAAUAUCCAGAGUUAGACAUGAGGAAACUUGAAGUUGGGAACCUGUUCAAACCUUCACCCUUUCUACUCGCAGAGCCUGUGCUAGCUUCAACCUUACAAUAAAAGCUUCAUAUUUCGCUUGGUUGUUAGUGGCUUUGAAUUCGAAUUUUAUUGCACACGAAACCUCUUCACCUUCUGGGCUGACUAGGAUUACUCUUGCUCAUGCUCCUUGUUCUCCACUAGAACCAUCAACCAUUACCACCCAUGUUUCACUGACUCUCUCCUUGUUCGCUCUGUCAUCACUUUGAAGACCUUAAUUUGCGGAUGUGUUCGCUUGGUCACACGACAAAAUGUUAGGAAUUGAUCCUGCAAUCGCUUGUCAUAGACUGGCGAUAAAGAAAAAAGCUCGACUGGUGAGGCAAAAAAGAAGAUGUAUGACUACUAAGAAGUGGGGUAAUGUUUUCAAAACCUUUACGAUGGAGGCUAGUUAAUGGUUAAAUGAGGAAAACAGGGCCGUAAAAAGAAUUGACUUGAAACCAAUAGCAAAAGUGUAUGUUAAAAUUUUAAAAUCUAGACUGAUGCCCACAACACAAGCCAUCAUUGUAUCUCAAAGAAGAAGAACUAGAAGAGAAAGAAGAGGAACAUAGUAUAGAAGAAGAAUCCGCAGAGGAGCAAGAUGAGGAACCUCAAGUCGCGCCUCCUAAACGAGAAAGAAAGCACAUCAUUAAAGUUGAUGAAGAGGACGACCAAGAUAAUGAGCCCUCAGUUUCAGUAUUUCCAAGCAAAGACAAGGAAAAAUUCAUGAUUGAUGAAGACUCAGAAGAAGAUCAAGAUGAUAUUGAUGCAGAAAUUAAAGCAGUUGCCACCAGAGCUACCAAAACUACUGAGGCAAAGAAAAGUUUACUGUAUAUUAUUGCUGAAAUCAUAUAUGAGGAAACUGCUACAACAACUCUUCCAGCAACCAUUGUUCAGGACUUUCCCAUCAAAUCUCCUAGCCGAACUCCCUGGCCAUCAAGCAAGCGUAAAGGGGCACAACCCUCUAGAGAUGCUGUAGUAGUGCAAGCAUCAGAAGAAUCAGAACCUAAGAAAGCAAAGUCUGAUUAGUCCGCACUUCAAGAAGCUACUGGUACCACACCAACCAGUCCAAACAAGAAGAAAAAGAAAUCAGUUGUUUUCCAUAAAUCUCACCAAGGAAGAGUGCCUGAAGUGGAGCCCAAAAGUAGUAAUUUUGCUCUAUUAGUGCUGUAGCAUAGCCCUCCAACAACGAGGAAGUAUCCUUUGUCAACCUAUUCUUUUUCAAUUUCUAAACUUUUUUAUUUUAUUUUCUUUUUUUGUUUCUAGUUUCUUCUGUAUUGUUUGUAACUUUACUUUCAAAUAUCUAUCUGUAUGUUUUAGUUUAGAAUAUGUGCUUGUGAGGACACAUCACCUCAUAAGUUUGGGGGGGGGGGGGGUUNNNNNNNNNNNNNNNNNNNNNNNNNNNNNNNNNNNNNNNNNNNNNNNNNNNNNNNNNNNNNNNNNNNNNNNNNNNNNNNNNNNNNNNNNNNNNNNNNNNNNNNNNNNNNNNNNNNNNNNNNNNNNNNNNNNNNNNNNNNNNNNNNNNNNNNNNNNNNNNNNNNNNNNNNNNNNNNNNNNNNNNNNNNNNNNNNNNNNNNNNNNNNNNNNNNNNNNNNNNNNNNNNNNNNNNNNNNNNNNNNNNNNNNNNNNNNNNNNNNNNNNNNNNNNNNNNNNNNNNNNNNNNNNNNNNNNNNNNNNNNNNNNNNNNNNNNNNNNNNNNNNNNNNNNNNNNNNNNNNNNNNNNNNNNNNNNNNNNNNNNNNNNNNNNNNNNNNNNNNNNNNNNNNNNNNNNNNNNNNNNNNNNNNNNNNNNNNNNGUUUGGGGGGGGGGGGAGUUAUGUUCUAAGUGUGUUCUAGUUGUGUUAUAAGUAUGUUUCAAGUGUGUUAAAGAGUAUGUAUGUAAUUUAGUUUAUUGUUGAUAUAAGAGUGAAUGUGUGAUGUGUGAAAAAAUUAAAUUUUAAGCUAAAAAAAAUUGAAUGUGUGUGAUUAGGUGUAUAGCUUGGUUAUUCAGUGGUUGUUUUUUAUUAAAGGACACCUAAUAAAGAUGAUCUGAGUGUUAAAUAAUAAGUUACCUUCAAUUAAAGAUAGUUGUGGACAAAGGUUGAGUUUGUCUCAACAUUUCUUUUUGGUUGAAUUUUGUGAGUUUGUUGUGGCAAGACUUAGUUGAAUGAUUAAUAGAAAAUAGUUCAAGUUUGGGUGAAUUUAGAAACUUUUUUAGAAUUUAGCGCAAACUGUGUUGACAUGAAAUAAAUUAUGCUACAAUGGCUCAGUUGCUGAGUAAUCAAGGUUGUGUGUGUACCCCACAUGUAGACUUAAGUAAAAAGACAGCAACACUUGUGAGUAUUGUUGUAACAAAAAUGAUAAAAAAUAAAAAAAAAUUUAAGUCCUCUAUCUAGUAUGUUGAGGAACCAUGUUUGUUCAUGAACCCCAUGUCCAGCCUUGAGUAAGAGGUGUCUGAAGAUAAAGGCCACUGUAACAGCAUCUUGACUGCUACUGUUGCAGCCACUCUAAUUUGUACAUUGAUGAAAUAAUUGGAUGUCAUCAGUAACCUUGAUAGAUAUUCACAUGAAAAAUUUAUGUCACACUAGAGUAAUUAUGCUAAAACGUUUUAUUGUUAUAACACAGUUUGCAGUUUUUAUAACCUAUGUUUCCCCUAUAAAUAAGAAUGUCUUCGAGAUGUAUUAAAUGAUUGAGUAUUGUAGUAACAACUAUGAAAUUUGAUGAGAAUGCACACAAGCACAUAGGAUAUAAUUAAACCUAAGUCUAGCAUUGGAUCUGUUAUUGGUAGUCUUAUAUGAAGAGAAAGAAAUCUGAGGGUUGUGAUAAAUCAAAACAAUCUAGAUGACAUAGCUUAUCUAUUUGUUCAUUGCAUGAUUGUGUGUUUAAGGGUUAGGUCUAUUGAUAUUACUUGAGGUUAAGUAAUGGAUUAAGUUUAGAGGUGUAAUAAAUUUAUGAAAUGAGAGUUAUCAUGGUGCUUUUAUGCUUGAAUCAACAUUACUUAGAGAGUAAAUGAUAUGUUUUUGCUGCAUUUUAGUUACAUUUUGCAUAAGUAGUCAUUUAAGUUUAAUUUCAAUAAAAUUCAUGGGUUUUUAGAUUAUUGUGUGCUUUGAUUAUGUGCAUAAUUGUAGGUGACCAAAAAGCUCAAAUUUCAUGGAUGGAACAAUGCAGCAGCAGUCAUGCAAAGUUACAAAAGAACUUGGAUGCAGUGGAAUUAAAUUAAGUCUGGAAUAUUAAAGAUGCUGGAGCAAUAUGUUGUAGCAUUGUUGCUGCAGUAACGAUUGGAGCAACGAUAAACCAGAUUUCACUCGUUAGAUAGAAGAUUACAAUCUAAAUAAGAGAUUCACUGUCAUACGUUUCUUGUAACCCUAAUUUCGACUUAUAAAAGGAGUACAUUACAACAAAAAAAGGGGUCAUCAUUGGAGAAGAGAAAUUAAGAGACAACAAAAGAAAAAAAAAAAGGAUUAAGAGAGAAUUGGGGCCGCACUUAAGGAAUCUGAGAAGAGCAUCGAGGGGAUUCAUAAGAACACGUGGAUUUUAACUUUAUUUCUUAUUCUCUUGUUUUUAUCUUGUUCUAAUGAGUUGUUUGAUUGCUGAAAAUAUUUUCGUUUUUGUUUUAUCACAAACUAUGAACUUGUGGUUGAGUGAUAAAUAUGAACUUGUGGUUGAGUGAUAAAUAAUUUUGAUGGUUAAUUGACUGAUUAUGUGAGUUGCUUUAUGUUUGCUAUAGCACGUUGAUUUGAUAAUACUUAUUUCAAUUUACGAUUUUGGUUGACCACCCAUUUAGUAAUACUAGAUAAGAAAGAGCUUAAAAAAGGCCUAACUUAGUGGAACAUAUUAAAGCAAUACUUGGUUUUAUAUUUUUGGUUCGGUUGCUACAACACUGGGUAGAAUCCUUAUGCACCCUCAACUGUCGCUUGUUAGAUAUCUUAUAUCUUGAUGCAACUUAACAGCGACCAAUUGCUAUGCCAACAUAAGAUGUAACAUUACACGUUUAGGUUCUAAUUACCCUACAAAGUGAAUCCAUAUGCUUAGUUCAUCAUAAGUUUUAGAUUAAGCAUGAUCUUUUUCGAAUCAAGUUAAACUCAACAUAAGAAACCCAAACAUAGUCAAAACCAUUAAGUGAGUUUAAUCACUCAACUACUUCAUUCUCAUCAAUUAGUCUCUUGUUUUAAAGUUGAAAUUCUUCUUCAUCACAUUUUAUUUAUUGCCUUGUUAAUUUUAGGAAAUCAAUUUUAUCAAUUGUUCUUUUAUAAUUAAGUUAAAAUUGCACUGAUUAGGUUGCUGUAGCAAUUCCUAUAACAUCAAUCCAUGUGGAGACGAUUUUGAAUAUUUAUCAUUAUAUUACUUGUUGUGUAUACUUGUACAUUGACACUCAUAGCGAUAGAAUUCAAACAUCAAUGGCAUAGGAUCAUAUGUCUUAAGCUUGAACUUCAUUGUGAUUUCAAUUUUCGAAGUAUCUAUAUCAAUAACUUGAGCUAUCUUCUCCACCAAUUCGGCGCAUGUUGUCAAUCGUGGUAUUAUUAUCCCUUUAGCCUUAGGACCUUUGAACUUAUACUCAUUUUGUUCAAUCCAUUUACCAUUGAAGAGAAUAGGCACACGUACCAAAAAUCAUAUCUGUUGAUACAAUAAAAACAAUAAUAUCUAAUUUCAUAUAUAAGUAACUACAUGACCUACACAACUUACACAACCUAACGAUUACAUUACUUAUAUAACCUACACGACCUACAUGACUAUAUUACUGACAUAACCUACAAGACUUACACGACUAUAUUACUUACAUGACCUACAUGACUACAUGUCUACAUGACUUACACAAUUGAUUACAUAAUGUACACGAUGUCAAAAGGAAUACACGACGCACAAUAUUUUCACCAUAAAUAAAUUAUAUUGUUAAUAAUUAAACAACUUGCACUGCGUUUAUUUCUACAUAUAAGGAAAAAUUAUGGAUAAUUGAAAAUAAAACAUUAUUAUAUGAGGAAAAUUUCCUUAUUAACAUACCUAAAACUUUCUAAAUUUUCUAAACUUUGAAAAUAAAACUUUCUAAAUUUUCCUAAAAAAUAAAAAACUUAAAACCCAACAAUAUUAACAUACCUUAUUAGGUUGUUUAAUGAGUAAUGCACCUCCUUUCAAUUAAAAAAAAAAAGUGUGGAAGUUAAAGAAGUGAAUACAUAAUUGUAUUUGUGUAAGAAUUUAUAAGAGAUAUUGAGAGAUUUUAGGAGACUUUGAAAGAAUUUUGGUAAUAAGAGAUUGGAGUGAAAGAACUAUGAAAACAAUGAAGUGGAGUGAAUUUGAUGCAUUCAGUAAGGGCAUUUCAGACUUUACACACAUUUGUUAGGGUAUCCAUGAAAAUAAAAAAGAAAAUGAAUAUUUAAAUAAUUUAACAACUAUUAAAGGGUAUUUAAUUAAAAACCCCUUAUUUUUCUAGUAUCCAAGCGGAUUGGAAUAUGGAAUAUCAUUAUAAUAGUAUAAAUUAAAUUUUUUUUUAUUCUAUAUAAAACUCCGUGAGUAUACUCCUAAUGGUAUGCUUAUUUCCACAUUCCAUUUAUUCAUGCACGUCCAUUGGACAGAAAUGAGCACCAUCACGUGUCACAUAACAAAGAUAAUGUAUCAAGUUAGUUUGCAGGAUUGCUGAAAUGUUUAAUAUAUUUUCUGCUAUUGAUUUUUGUGGUUCUAUGAGAGCUUAAUUCAGUGUUAGAAUUUGGCUUAUAAACUUCAUCGAGAGGCAACGGAAUUAAGAAAAGGGAGUGUAUGCAUUAGAUACUAACUAUGUUUAUUUGAUUUGGAGGCAGAACUUUGCUCUGUAUGGAAACGAAAAUCUAAUCAAUAAAUAGAAAUUUGAGAGGUAAAAUAUUAUAAUUUAAAAACUAUAUAGGCCAAAGUUUAAUGAAAUCUCUCCCAUAGUUCAUUUGGCUGCUUGGAAAGUAGGGGUGGGCAAAAUUAGGUUUGGAUCGGGUUCGGAUCAAUCCGAUCGGGUUUCGGGUUGAUCGGGUUGGAUGAAAAUUCAUCCGAACUGAACCUGAACCUAUAACCUGAUCUGAUCCAAUCCGAAUAUAAUUCGUAUCGGAUCGGAUUGGAUCAAAAAAUGGAGUUAAAUUCAUAUCAGAUCGGAUGUGGAUUAGAUGUGGUUCAGGUUACAUUUGAAUCAAUUCAUAUUAUUCAGGUCAAUUCGGAUCAAGUGAAAUUCAACAAUACAUAAUUACCUAUUAUUAACAACCACCAAAUAUCAAUUAAACAUUAAUCUUUCACACAUAAUAUAUAAUAUACAUUUGUAGCAUCACUAUCAAAGGCUCAAAACUUCCAAAACCCAAAGUUAAUAGCCAAAAUUCAGGUUGCCGCUUACCGGGUUCGAACGGGUGUUGCCGGGUUCAAAUGGACCUUGAAUCAGAUUAGGUGAUGGUGGAGGAUUAGAGGCAUGGAGGUGGCCCAGUAGAUCCGGUACUUCGUAGCAGUAGAUCGGCAAAUUGGGUCAUGAUCCUCGCGGAGUAGCUUCGGUUGGUGUCGGAUCUCAGCGGUUGCUGCGUCUGGCAUUGGCUCUCCGCUUUAGUUGGCGUCAGCUUCGGGGGUGUGUGUGUGUGUGUGUGUUUGUGUUUCGUUUAUUUGGAGGAGGCUGGGGGUUGGCUGUCGGCAGUGAGCUGCAAGCAAGGGAGGUUGUGGGUGAGUGAGUGGCUUUGUACGUCGCCUGUCGUCGGCAGUGGGCUGUUGUUGCUGCCGUGCUGCAUGUGCUGUUGUUAAUUUGUUAUUGUGUGUGUUUGUAAUUGUUUGUGUGUGUGUGCCCAACUUGUGUUUGUGUUUGUAUUGUGAAAUGUGAAUAUGUGAUAUGUGAUUUGUGUGUGUGGCGUGCGUGUGUUUAGAUUUAGGUUUUUUUUUUUUAAAUAACCCGAUUGGGUUUCACCAUUUUCAUCCGAUCGGAUUUUCUUUAUAACCCGAUCCGAUCCAAUCCGAACCUAAAAUUUUUCGAAUCAAAUCGGGUCGGAUAUUUUGUCCACCCCUACUGAAAAAGGCAUGGCUGGAUUAACAUACUCUCCUGAUCUAAACUUCUCAAAAUAGAAAUUCCACAAUAAAUUGCGGCAAGCAUUUACUGAGUUGGCUUGAUGUUCUUGAGUUAUAUGGCCAUUGCACCACAAAAUUUGAUAUCUAUGAGAUGGAAAGAGAAAGGGCAGAGAAAAUCAAAACCUUAAAAGUUUUGAAUCAAAUUAAACUUAAUACAGCAAACAUCACAUAUUACACAUCGAAAUCAACAAGAUUAAAAACUACUAUAUAGAACACCAUUUUUUUUUUUUUUUUUGACCAUAUCACAAGUGCACCUGCAAAUUAUUUGACAAUUUGACUGCUAUGAGCGCAUACAAGACAAAAAGAAUCCUAUAUCAUGCACAAGUAGGCAGCAAGCAUUGAAAAUACAGAAACUAGCAGCAAUGGCUUGAGCGGAAACUCAUUAAAGAGAAUGUCAUAAAUGCUAAGCAUAAGAAAAAGGCAGCAGAAUUGAGGGUGAUUAGUAAUUGGAAUAAAUGUGGAUGUUUAUUCACAACCCUGCAGAAGGGAUUUAGGCUUGAAAUCUGCUGGAAACCUUUUUCUGAUCUACAGCCCAUGAUCUUCAAUGCUGCAUGGAACAUUAUUGUUGAUAACAAUGCCAGCAGUAACAGCAGAUGAAAGACAUAGCUUUUAGACUUAUUUUUUAUUUUGAUAUUGAGCCAGGUGUUCUGCAAAUGCAAUGACAGGCGCCCCCAUUUAAAUAUCUUCCUCAUUUGAUCAUAUUUAGCUCCAAAAGCACCCCAUAAACGUUGAGUUGCCUUAAUUUUCAUUUCUGUCUUCCCAGCUUGUGAUAAGUCAUCUGAUAUGUCCAACGCUGUACAGCCACCACCAUCCAUUAAGUUAACCUUGGCAAUGAAGUUAUGAGGCGUAGCAGCCAGGAAAGAUUUUGGAGUCUACAACAUGCACAAAAAGAGGACAGACGCUUGGAAAUAAGAAUUAAUGAAUGAACUUCUAUGCCAGGCCAACAAGAGAAGUCAAGCAUAGUUUUAAAAUGAACAUAAGAAAUAGAGGCAAAGAUCAAAAUGAAUAACAACCUCUUCAAGCAGUACUUGAUGGCUUGAGAUCUCUGUAAAUAUUUUGCUUCUCAGAACUUUGCAUAGCAACCAUGGUUUUAGCAACUCCAAUGACAAUUUCAAGUCUUUUAUCCCAAGAUCCUUCUUUGGUGGAAAAGGAUUCUGCAUAACCAUGCAAUUCAAUGAUUACUAUAAAAAUAUCCAUAGAUAUGCAAUCUUUAUUUUCUUUUGUUUCUAAAUUUCCUUCAGUUCUUCUGAAAAGAUGAUUUUCAAAGCUCUCUAUCUUCACGAGCCAUUUAUUCUUCCAGCGGUAUCCCAAUGGUUUAACUUGGUAGGUAUAUGAUAGUUUCUCUUCAAAUCCUGCCUGCCUGCAUAAGCACUGCAAAAUAGGCAACGCAUAAUUAGCAAUGGUAAAAGGGAUCAUAAAAUUUGCCUGUGGCAAACAUCUAUCAUUUAGUCUUUCCCAAAAACUUAUCAUUUCUUUAUUGUGAACCCAAAAAUGGAAAAAAAAAAAAAAAUCCAUAUCAUAAUCAAUAGUGAUAAUAUUGCUCCCAAUCCUAUUGUUCUUAAUAUUAAAUUUGCUAGAAAUUAAAUGUCCCCAUCCAGUGGUAAAAGUUGCCGGAAAAAAUUAAACUAGUGUGAUUUGCUUCUAUUUGAGUGAAAUAUCAAGUGAGGUCGACAAAAGUAUUCAUGUGUUAAUAUGCCAAUAUGCUGUACAAAUUUCAAUUAUAUGCUACGUAAAACAAUCAUGCAUCAAUGAACUGAAACACGAAUUAUUGUAGGAAUAAUGCUUGAUACAGGCAUCCCUGUCAUUACUGAACAUCAAUGACCAACUGCAGAGCAAUACCCUCCAUCUUUAUGCUGUUUCUCUUAGCCAGCUCCAAUAGCAACAGUUAGUGAUUGCCUUUCAGGUUAGCUAGUUGGGAACUGAAUUUGAAUCGCUAACCUGAUAGUUGGAUCUCCGUCAUUAUUGAAAUCAGUGACCAAUACUUGCAGGAAUCAUGCUUAAUUCUUCACAGCAUGAAACAUCAAUUACCAAUACUUGUAUCUCCGUCAUUAUUGAGAUCAAUAACUGAAUAUUGUUGGGGAGUACGCAAUACACAUGCAUUACUGUCAUCAUUGAACAUCAAUGACUGAUAAAUGGGAUCGGGCUUGAUAAUUGCAUCUCUCUCCUUGGUUAACAUUAAUGACAAAUGUUUGCAGGGAUCAUGCAUGAUGCCUAACAUCAAUGACUAACAACUGUUGGGAUCAUGUUGGUACCUGAAUCUCUCUCCUUGUUGAAGAUUAAUGACCAAUAACUGCAGGUAUCAUACAUGACACAUGUAUCUCUGUCAUUAUUGAACACCAAUGACCAAAACUUAUAGAAAAGCAUGCCAUUGUACUUUUAUCUAUGUCAUUAUUUGACAUCAAUGGGAUAUAGUUGUAGUAGAUCAUACUUGAUACUUGCAUCUCCCUCCUUGUUUAACAUCACCGACCAUACUUGUAGGGUUCGCGCAUGAAACAAGGUCUCUCUCCUUUUUGAAUAUCAAUGAGCAGAACUUAUAGAGAUUCACCCAGAAUAAUUGUACCUCUGUUGUUAUUGAACAUCAACGAGGAAUACUAACAUGGGUUCAUGCUUGAUAUGUACCCAUCUCUCCUUGUUGAACAUCAAGGACGAAAACUUGUAGGAUAUCCUCAUGUUUCAUAUUUAAAUGCAUGUCUCCACCGAUAUGGCCACCAAACAAUGCUUGUGGCCUUGAAGGAUAUCAUGCUUGAUGCUUGCAUCUCUCCCAUUAUUGACGGUGUACAGGAGGUUGCAUGAUACUUUACACCUCUGUCAUUGAGCAACAUCGAUACUUCUUACAUUUGGUUGUCAAAUUCUCAAAGACCAACAAACUGGUUAUUUCUUCAGUACCUCUAAUGAAAUAAUGCAUCACAGAGUUUCAAUAUGGCUUCUAACAUUUAGAUCAAAAUAAAAUUAUAAUUAACUUAGGAGAUCUUAAGUGUAAAUAUAUAUUACUUAGCAAUUUUCAGCACUCGGCAGGGACUCAAACCCACGCAAUUUCAAAUAUCUUAAAUUCAAAAAUUAUUUACUUCUAUAUUUUUGUUGGAAGGAUACCUUUUUUUACCAUAAAUAUUUUAAUAUCCUGGAUUUCAAAUAUUGAUGGAUGUGGUUGCCAUCAGUAUUGCUGUUUUUUUUUUUUUUGGGCGAAACACUGAUAUGUAUACAUUACAAUCAGAAUGCAUGAGACCAAAUCUAUUACGCUGGGUUGCUAAUGAAGAAUUUUCCUUCAAAAAUAAGAACAGAAAAUAAAUCUUUCAAAUAAAAUUAAACAAUUUAUUUGACUUAACGAUUAAUUAAAAAAAAUGACAUGACUAUUCCAAUCCAACCGGCCCAAGUUUAAAAUAGGUUAAUUAAUGCAGAUAAAAAUUUAAUAAAAUCGAAUAUAGUAAGACUAUUGUUUGUGCUCAAGAAUGUCGUAAAAACGACGUAGUUGGAGUCGGAAUAACCAUACCUCGAUAUCAUCGUAAAUAACAUUCUUCAGCUGUCUCUGGUUGAGAAGGCCAUCUUCAAACUGAUGAACCAAGAAUUUUGAAGCUCCAAUAAGAAUGUUCAGAACGGCAAUUUUAUGCCAAAGAAUCGAUACCAAGGCGCCCUUUAUCGGUGCUUGCAAAUCUGAUCUCAGAGGGUGCACGUUCUCUUCAAGCAUACCAAUCUCACAAUCUCUAUCAAAUUCUGUCAUUUUUUUCCUCUUCCUCGUCGCAAUGCCUUGUGUUGGUGAAGAUACAACUCAGAACUCAGUAGUUAUGUGCAGCAAUCAGAUGUGCAGCAAGCCAUAACAAAAGAAACAGCCCUGGAUCUUCUUUGCCGGUAGCAGAGGUUUAAUAGAGAUUAAAAGGUCCGUGGACCCACGGGGCCCCAACUGUAGGUCCCCGUAACAGCGCAAGACAAAGUUCAGACUUUAGUUAAUAUACAUCCCUUAAUUUUUUAUUUUUUUUUACUGUUUUCAUGAUAAUCAGUCAUUUUCCUGGUAAUAUAAUCAGAUUGGAGGAUCCAUGGUCAAGACCUUAUGGUCAAUUUUUGGUUUGGUCAAUAUAGCUACAUGUAUGGAUUUACAGCCCUCAGCGGAAUCCUCUGCUGUACCGUACAUCCGCCUUGGCCGUACAGCAGAUAAUAUAAUUUUUAUUUUUAUUUAUUAUAAAUUAGAUGCAUUGUAUAAAGAGAAAUAAAAAUAAAAAAUUUCAGAACUAAAAAUAAGAAAAAUAUUUUUCAAUGUGAUUAAAAAAUUAUUAAUAAAAUUUUUGUACUUUUUAUUAUUUUUAAAUAUUUUUCAUAUAAUAAAUAAGUAUUUUAUAUGCCAAAGACAGAUUAUCAAGCAACCGGCCUAUUUACUUCUUUUUGAAUUUAAAAUUUUUUGUGUGGAGAGAUUUUUUAUUAUUAUAAAAAUAAUAGAGAGGCUAGUAAUAUAUAUUGAUUUCAGAAAUUAAUAUUUGCCUUUAAAAAAAAUAUAUACAAAGCUUAAUAGGAGGGAUUAGGAUCAUUUUCUGAUCUGAUCAUGUACUGAGCAGAUAAUUAAAGUAGUAAUUGAUAAUUAAUAAAUAAAUAAAAUAAUGAUGCUAAAUUUUAUUCAUAUACUACUAUGAGAAAACAUAUCGUAAAAAAUCUUUAAAAACUCAGUAGAGAUCAGGUGAGAAAAAAAAAUCUUACUCCCAAUAGAAAUAAGCCCAAACACAAUAGAAUAUAAUAAUAAACUCUCAUAAUUACAUAGAGAGACUUAAACUCUCCACCUUAAGAUUAAAAGAUAAAAAAAGUAAUAAUUUAAAAAAUAAUGGUUAAUAAAACGUGAUAAAUAUAAUUCUUAAACAAUAUUUUUUACAAAAAUAAUAAACAUGUUAUAAAUUAGUUAUCAUACAAAUAUGAAAAAAUUAGUGAUCAUACAACUUUCAUAUUGGAGUAAGAUUGUGGAGUGUGGACCAUUACUGUCAAUUACAUGAACUAGUCACCCAUGAAUAUAAAAUGAUAAAAAUAUCCUCACUUUAACAAGUAACUAAUACUUUUUACAAUAAUGCCAUUGAUGAGGUCGGUUGGCAGUGGCAUUCAACCUGUGCCCUACCAAUGGGCCUUUGGUCCAAUGGGAGAAGCCUUACAUUUAUAAUAUUGAGUGCAAGGGUUCGAGCCUCCAUAAGAGCAUUAUGGAGGUUAGUUUCAGUUCUUCCUCAAUUAUCAAUUAAUUGAGUGGAGACAGUCUCUCUCUCACGAAAUGUGAGUGGAUUAGGCACCCUUCGAAUAUUAGAGAUGGUUUAAAAUAUCUAGGCAUAUACUUUAGUGUGUCAAUAUAUGGUAGUGAUCCCAGUUAUAUAAUAUGAUUGUAAAUAUUAAUUGUAAUGUUUGAUGUAAUGUCAGUAAUAUCUGUGUAUAACAGACUUAAAAAAAAAAAAAAAAAUAUGUGCCCCGAAUUCUGAUGGCGAAAAAGUUCUGGCGUCCUUUCAUUUUUUGUUGUUUUGGAAACACGAUCAACUUUUUCAUUUUCUUUUAUUGAUUUUUCUUGAUUUAUUGUUAUUUAUAAAUUUAGUAUGUAUUAUUUGAUUAGCACUGUUUCCUUAAAUUAAUAGUGAUAUUUUUUAUAUAAUUUUAUUUUUCUCGUGUUAAAUAUGAUAAUUCUAUUAUGGAGCUGCCUCACACAAUAAGUCCUUAAAAUGACUAAUAUUAAAUAAUUUCUUGCCACAACAAGGUAGUUUUAACCCACGCCUCUUUUAAUGUUACAAAAGUUAAGAACAACCGAACAAGCCCUUAUUUUAUAUUUUCUUCGUACUCUUACCGGACACGUGACGAUAAUAUAGAUAUGGCAUGUCAGAAUGGUUCGUAUAGUAUUUUUAUAUUUGGAUCAAGAUUAUCUUAUGAUCUGAUCAUGUCAUGAAUAAAUAAUUCAAUUGCUUAUUGGUUAUUAAUAAAUAAAAAAAUUAAAAAAUUAAAAAUUAAAUCUUACCCAUUCACUAUCACUAACACAUACAUGACAAAAAAAUUUUAAAAUCUCAAUAGAGAAUCAUAUUCCUUUAUAUUUAGCAUUAUUCAAUAAAAGAAGAGACUAAAGGUUUUGAUCUUGUGUCUAAUAUUAUUUUAAGGUCGGUGAUGUUUUUAUUGAUGUUAUUUUUACGACACUUAUAUUUAUAUAAUAUAAUGUGAAGGCUACUAAUAUUUACAAUUAGAAAUUUAUAUGAAUUAUUUUAAAUCAAGUCUAUUAUAGCACAAUUCAGAUUUUAUAUUUGCAUAUAAUUGUGAGGGUAUCUAUGACAACUUGGUCAAAGACGGAAUAAUUUAUAUUCUUUAAUUCAACUAAUAAAAUUUCACAAAUAACACAACAAUUGACACUCAAAAGAUUUGUCUGUAGUAAUUUCAUUUUUAAAAUAAAAAAAAAUUGACGUAGCAUUAAUUUUGGGUGUUUUGCCUUAUUUUGGAGCUAAACUGGUACGAAGAUAUUAAAAGUUAUAAGCUAAAGUGUGUAAAGCACUAUUAGACCCAUUCACUGCCCCUUUAGUCGUUUGAAAGUUGUGCAUUAGAAUUUGUUGUCAUCGAGAAAUUUCGUCGAACGAUCUGAAUCUAGCCAUUGACUGUUAGAAAUUUCUAUGUAAGUUGCCAGUCCGUUUGAAAGCGCCCUAAUCAGAAACAAAAGGCUCCGAGGAACUUCCACGAAGUUACUAACAUGUUCAUGACAUAAAUAUGCUCAAUAGAAAAAAAAAAAAAGGUAAAAAUAUAUUUAGUCCCUAUAUUUUAAGAUUAGUGUCAAUUUAGUCUCCGUAUUUUUUAAAAUACCUCGAAAUAUCUCUAUCGUUAAAGUAUUGAUACCCAUACCAUUAUUUUUUAUUUCUUUUGGCUUACUUUUACAAUAUUACCCUUUUAUAAUAAUUUUUUUGUUUGGACAUUAAUAAAAAUAAAAUAAUUAAAUUACCAAUUUAACCCUAAAAAAUAAAAAUAAAAUUAUAUUAAUUUUUUUGCAAGCACCAUUUGCACACUUGAUAGUUGCAUACAAUUUUUGACAAUUAAAAAUUAAUAUAAUUUUUUUAAUUUUUUAGGGUUAAAUUGGUAAUUUAAUUAUUUUCUUUUUAUUAAUGUCCAAACAAAAAAAUUAUUAUAAAAGGGUAAUAUUGUAAAAGUAAGCCAAAAGAAAUCAAAAGUAACGGUAGGGGUAUCAAUACUUUAACGGCAAGGAUGUUUCGAGGUAUUUUAAAAAAUACGGGGACUAAAUGGACACUAAUCUUAAAAUACAGGGACUAAAUGAACUUUUACUCGAAAAAAAAUUACUUGUGUUGGAGAAGUAAUAAUGGUAAAAUUUUCCAUUUGUGGGGCUCCAAUGGUCCUCCUAAUACUCUGAAUAGGGUUAAGAUGAUAUGAUUUUUAUGGAAUGAGGAGGGAAUGAAAAUAAUCAAAUUUAGGGUCCAAUUAUAUUGGAACCGUUUUAAGGUAGAGUACCAAUUUACAAUCAUAUGAUUAAAGUUGUAAUAAGUUUUUUUACUAUUCAUCACUUUGUGUGUAUGGUUAUAAUUGCUGCUCUAUGUUAAAAAAGCUCCAAGAUGGCCAUGGUACUAAAUUUGAUAUACAAAUUAUUCGUGGAUUUGGUGUAAUUUUGUAUUCUUGUUCUCCUAUCUCUACUAGUUUACAAUUUUUUAUUUCUCAAUAAUGCUAAAGAGAGAGAAACAUGAGAGAAAGAUAAGAGAAGUUUGCUCUCUCUCUCUACCCAGCCCACUCUCUCUUCCUUUUCAAUGCAUUUUCUCUCAUUUUUCUUUCAUCUUUCUCUCUCGUUAGCAUUUUUCUUUAUUUUUAUUCUAAUUCAAGUAUUAGUUAUCCAAAACAAAAUUGUUCUAAUACGUUGAUGACUUUUUUUUAAAUUAAAUAAUUUGAAUAGAUCUUCUUCUUUUUUUGAGUAGUUUUAACUAUUAUAUUACUAAAAUGAUGUAUAUUUUUUUACUAUAAAAGAAAAUAGUAAAUGAGAAUAUGGUGGGGGCAUGCGGAAAGGUUACCACCAACCCCCUUUACAUGAGCAGGCUAUAUAGUAUGAACGUAAAAUUUUUUUCUCAAAAAACACAAAUUUUGAUUAAAAAAAUUAACGCAGAAAAAGAAAAAUUUCUAGGAAGUUUCUUUCUUUUUCUUUUUCUUUGUUAAAGAAAAUUUCUACGAAGUCUUCCUAAAAUGAUGGUGGCCCCCUUCCCAUACUUAUGUCCACAUGAGCAGGGUAUACAUAUAGUAUGAACAUAAAAACUUUUCUCCAAAGAAACGAAUUUUGAUUAAAAAAAAUUAAAAAAGAGAAAUUUCUACGAAAUUUUCUUUCUUUUUCUUUGUCAAAGAAAAUCUCUAUGAAGUCUUCCUAUAAUGAUGGUAGCCUCAUUACCAUGCUUAUAGACAUGUCACAUGAGCAGGUUAUAGAGUAUGAACAUAAAUUUUUUUCUCCAAAGAAACAAAUUUUGAUUAAAAAAAAUUAAAAAAGGGAAAUUUCUACGAAAUUUUCUUUCUUUUUCUUUGUUAAAGAAAAACUCUAUGAAGUCUUCCUAUAAUGAUGGUAGCCUCAUUACCAUGCUUAUAGACAUGUCACAUGAGCAGGUUAUAGAGUACGAACAGAAAAUUUUUUCUCCAGAGACACGAAUUCUGAUUAAAAAAGAAUUAUAGAAAAUGAGAAAUUUUUACAAAGUUUCUUUUUUUUUUUUCUUUUUUUCAAAGAAAAUAUCCAUGAAGACUUAAUUUCUUAUAACGAUGGUUUUUGAUACAAAGGGCCCCAAGGGCCAACGUGAUCGCGGAAUUGAAGGCAAGUUACCACAAAAGAUAAGUUUAUAAUUUCUUAUAAGGCAAGUUACCACAAAAGAUAAAUUUUUAUUAUGUUAUAUAAUCAUGUAUGUUACAUGAUUAUGUAGCAGCCGUUAAAUUUACAUUCAACGGUUGUGAAAAUAACAUGAUUUUAUUAUCUUAUAUUUUCACAACCGUUAGAUUUUCAUCCAACGACUGCUACAUAAUCAUGUAUGUUACAUAUUAUGUAACAUAACAAUCUCCCAAAGGAUAAAUACGAGUUUGAUUAUGACACUAUAUUAUUGAUCAAAGAAAAGUAAUUUUCUUUUUUUUUUAAAAAGAUUAAGAUAUGUAGCGAAUUUUGAAGGCUAUUUAUAAGACUGUCUAUUUCCAAUAUUAAGGAAAAAUAAUAAUCUCAUUUUCUCGCAUUGGGAUUUGUAAGUUUUUAUUAGUUAUUUUCCUAUGAAUAAUGUUAUGUUUAUUCACUUUAAAUACUGAAUUGAAAUAGUUAAUGAUACGGUAUUUUAUGUAUCAUCUAUUAAUUGGGUUAUAAAAAAUAGGUUAUUAAUUAAUAAUAAAAUCAAUUAACAUCAUACUUAUGGUAUUAAAUAAUUAGUGACACAUCAGUGAAUAUCUCAACUAAGUAUCCAUACGUAGUAAACAUAGAAUUAUUGUUUUCCUAUGAGUAAUAUUAUGUUUAUUCACUUUAAACACUGAAUUGAAAUAGUUAAUGAUACGACAUUUUAUCUAUCAUCUAUUAAUUGGGUUAUAAAAAAUAGAUUAUUUAUUAAUAAUAAAAUUAAUUAACAUCAUACAUAUGAUAUUAAAUAAUUAGUGACACAUCAGUGAAUAUCUCAACUAAGUAUCUAUACAUAGUAAACAUAGAAUUAUUGUUUUCCUUUCAUUUUAGUACCCCAUUAGCUUCAAAACAUGAAAAUGGAUUUUCUUAUGACUUCUUCAAGAUGUAUUAGAAUCCUCACCAAGUAUUUUUUUUUUUUUUUUUCUGUAAGACUCCAAAGCAACCUUCUGUUUAUCUUUUUAUAAAUUUUAAAUUAUUUUAUUUUUAAAAAUAAAAUCUCAAAAUCUACCAAACACAAAAUUUUGGAUAAAUUUUCAGUUUUUUUUCUUAAAUCAUUAUCCAAAAUUGCAGGGUGAUAAAUUUUCCUAAUUGUCCGCGAGCUCAAAAGUCCAAACCAUGAAACCAUUUUUUUCUCUGGAAAUAGGUGGAUCCCUAGUGGUCAUCACUCAACUGUGUAAACUGUGCUGUAGAUAUGUUGAUUAAGGGCUAUUUUGUAAGAUUGCAAAUGGUAUGGAUGAAAUAAGUUAAUAAUUUAAAAAGUAGUUUGGUGUUUAGUAAAUUAUGUUAUUAUGGUCACUGUGAGUUUGAAAAAAGAGUACAUAUAUUUCGCAAACUUUAUUACAUAAAUGUUGUUUUUAUUAUUUAAUGAUAAAAAUAGACAUAAGUUUAAAAAGCUUUUAUUUGUAUACUAGAUUUUAUGAAAAAAAUAAGAUAAAUUUUUCUUUUCGUUAAAAUAUUAAAAUUGUAAUAAAAUUAUAAAAGGUGUAUGUUUUGACUUAUUUAAUAAUAAGCUACCUAUAAAAGACAACAUCUUACUUUUAAAAACUACAAUGAAAAUGGAAACAAUUAUGAAAUACACAAUUUUUUAAAAAUUUAUCAAAUAUUAUUUUUGUCAAAAGUUAUUAAACAAGUUACUCAUAGCGUUUUAACCUCAAUUUUAAAUAAGAAAUAAAUUUUAAAGUAAAAAAUAUGAAUUUGUGAGAACUUGCUGGUUGUCUUGUGCAGUUAAACGUGUAAGGAUGACAUACCUUUCAAGAAUUUACCUCCAGGGAAGCUAAAGAAGAUUAGAUAAAUUCCAAUCAAAUAUUAUAGUGAUUAGUUUUAUAGAAUUAAUGAGUAACCUAAUAUUAGCAGCAUACGAAAAAGAGCAUGCAGUCUUUGACUCUUCCAGUGAAAAGCUUUAAGCAUGAGAAAAUAGUGUAAUAUGUAGCUUAAAAAAUUGAUAUUUUGAUAAUUUAUUAUUAUAUUAUUUUUAAUCAAUCAUUGCAAAAAGUAUAACAGAUAAAUUACCGUGGCCAUUGUUCAUGUUAAUCACCAAAAAUGUCGGUUGAUUGAUAAUUGUGUAUUCAUUAAAGAAUUCAUCUAUUGGAUCACUUGGCUCCACCGCCCUGCCACUCACUUUCAAAUAACUUAGGCAAACAUUAAACGUUCUUAUAUGACGCAUUCAUUAUCGACAUUGAAGCUGCUGAUCUUAAUGCUGACUCGGCGACAGAAAAAUAAUGUAACAAUUAUUAAAUAAUAAAGAGAUGAAUAUUAUAAGGGCCCGCCUAAGUUAAUGUGACUUACACCUGCCCUGCCCAAUUUCAUUAUGCCCCCUAUACUUUAUAUUUUUUAUAAUUUAUUUAUAAGUAUUAUAAAAAUUUUUGGAUUGUAACAUUUUGUUUAACUCCUUAUACUCUGUUGUAUUUUAUUGAAAUUCCUUUAAGUUUCAGUUCGCCCCCUAUAAUUUUAAAUUCCUAAAAUAACCGCCAUUUAAUUAAAAAAUAUAAUUACUACUAAAUGAAUUAUAAUUUGNNNNNNNNNNNNNNNNNNNNNNNNNNNNNNNNNNNNNNNNNNNNNNNNNNNNNNNNNNNNNNNNNNNNNNNNNNNNNNNNNNNNNNNNNNNNNNNNNNNNNNNNNNNNNNNNNNNNNNNNNNNNNNNNNNNNNNNNNNNNNNNNNNNNNNNNNNNNNNNNNNNNNNNNNNNNNNNNNNNNNNNNNNNNNNNNNNNNNNNNNNNNNNNNNNNNNGCUGUAAUAAUAAUUUUUUAAUUAUUUUGUUAAUAAUAGUUAUUAUGAUAAAAAUUAAUUAAGAAUUUUAUAGUAAUUUGUUACAAUUUAACUUACUCUGAUUUUUAUUCUAAGACAAAAUAAACAUAAAUGGUAAUAAAACUAAUUCUAAUUACGAUUACAGCAGUUCAAGUAAAUAGAUUAUUAUGAUUUUAAUUCCUCUUUUUUAUUCUAAUUAUUCAUAUUCUAACUCAUUAUAUUUCCAGCUAAUUUCGAUUCCAUUUUAGUGAAUGCACUAUAAAAUUAAUAAUACUUAUGAAUAAAUUGUAAAUAAUAGAGAGUGAUCUAAUUGAAUAUAGAGUGGUUUACAAUUUUAUUCACUAAAAAUGAAUCGACAUUAGCUAGAAACAUAAUGAGUUAGAAUCAAAAUGAGGAAUUAGAAUCAUAAUAAUUUAUUUACUUGAAUUACAAGAAUCGUAAUUAGAAUGACUUAUAUUACCAUUUAUAUGUUUACUUUGUCUUAGAAUAAAAAUUAGAAUGAGUUAAAUUAUAACAAAUUAAUAUAAAAUCCUUAAUUAAUUUUUAUCAUAAUUAUUAUUUUGUAUUUUAAUUAUUGUUAUUGUUAUUAUUAUUCAAAAAUUAUUUAUUAAAAUUAAUUACUAUUAACAAUUUAACGAAAAAAUUAUUAUUAAUUAUUGUUAAUAGAUUAAUUAAUUAUAAUAUUUUUUAUUCUUGUUAAUAAUAAUAAUAAUCUAUUUAAAAAUUAUAAUUAUAAUAAAAUAAUUAUCAUGAUUAUAAUUAUAAUUCAUUUAAUAAUUAUUAUAUUUUUUAAUUAAAUGGAGAUUGUUUUGGGAAUUUAAAAUUAUAGGGGUGAAUUGGCACUCUAGGAGUUUCAAUGAAAUAAAAUAGAGUGUAAGGGAUUAAACGAAAUUUUACAAUCUAAAAGUUUAUGAUACUUAUAAAUAAGUUAUAAAUAAUAUAGAGUAUAGGGAACGGAAUGAAAUUUGGCAGGGCACAUGUAAGUUACAUUAACUGUAGGCGGACCCACAUUAUAAACGUGUUACCAAAGCUUAAAAAAGAAACGUUUUCAAACAAUAAGCAAAUGAAACAUUGACUGAUCUAUUUUUUAUAUUCAAUAAAUCUUUGCUUGGACCAGGUCAGCCUUACUUCUUUUUAUUUUUUAUUCAGUAUUAUUUUUUUUUAGUCAAAUAAUAUAUUACUAGGAAAAAAAAUAUUAUUUAUUUAAAAAUGUGAGUAAUUACCGAGGUGAUGUAGAAAGCAUCCCCAUACACGUACCCGUGCAUCCCAUCAAUAUUGCCGAAGGGAAGCUUCCUUCUUUGAAUGUCCGAAUUCCAAUCUUUCUCUAACGUGUGCUUAAGCCUGAAGGAAAUGUCACCUUGUUAGCUUCAUAGAAAUUUUCCUGGGCGGGAGGAACUUCCUUUUUCUAAUUUCCGAUCGUUUUCAGAUUGGAAGAAAAUGUGAUACAUUUUCAUAAAUCAUGAAGUAAGUAUUAUCAUAUACUCAUAUUAUAUAAAAUAACCUUUUCAUGGGAAAAAAAAAAUCCUCUAAAUUAGUUCAAUAUUUUAACAAUUUUUUAAUUUCUCUUCCGCUUCAUGGGGAAUAAACAUCCAUGUGCCUAUCUACGAAAUUUUGUUACAUUCUAGCAUCCUUUCCAUCUUCUCUGUAACAAAUUUGAGGUAAUGGCAGAGCCAUUAAAAGACAAGCCAAAAAUCGCAAAAGUCAUUUUCUUUCUAAUUCAGUUAAAUUAUAGUUUUCUCUAUAUAGAACUAAUUACAUAUUUAAAAUGAUGUGAUUUUGUAAGUCACUGAUCCGCACAACCAAAUCGUCGGCGCAAAGCAAUGGGGGAGAAUGUAUUAAAAAAAUUUCAGGUUCAAAAUUUAUUUUAAAAAUCAUAGAAAUACUUAUUAUUGUACAUGGGCGCUUGAAAUAUAAAAUUAGGAUGUUUUGUACUUUUUUCUUAUUUUUAUUUUAUGCCGUCAUAAAUUUUGUCCUUAUCAAUUUAGGGUCAGUUUGGGAUUAUGGUUGCUGAUUGAAUAAGCUGCUUCUACUGUGCAGAUACAAUAAGCAACUAAUUAAAAAAGUAGCUUGAUAUUUGGUAAACUGUGUUGUUGCGGUUGUUAUAAGUUUGAAAAGUAGUGUAAAUGCGUUUAGUAAAUUUUAUUACAAACUUGUUAUUUUAUCAUAUAAUGAUUAAAAUAGACAUAAGUUUAAAUUACCUUUUUUUUUUAAGUAUGUUUAAUAAUGUUUAGACGUGUCCUUUUCUUUUUAAAACAUAUAAAAUUAUAUUAAGUGAAAAAAAACUUAAUAAUUUGUUACAUAAAAUAUGUUAAAAAUUCAUACUAAUAUAUAAUCUAGAUAAAAUAAAAUAAAAAGUAAUAUGCAUUAUUUUCACAUUAAACUUGUUGCAGUAAAGAUCAUGACUAUAGAAAAAAUAUAAAUAUAUUAAAUGUUAAAAACUCAUGGUUAGAAUUGAUUUUAAAAAGUUACGGUAAAUUUUCACGUGAAAUUGUUCAUAGUUCAAAAUAAAAUUACAUAAUUAUAUGCAAGUCUUUUUAAUUUUCUUAUAAAAAAUACAAGUACAAUAUAAAAAAAUAUGAACUUACUAUAUCAAAACUUUAAUACUGGAGAGAAUAUAUAGUAGUUGUAGGGGUAAUUUGAUUGUGGUGAUAAUAUGAGAUCUAAUAGUUUAUAUAUUAGAGUGUAUGGAAAAAUAUGAUAUAAUUAUUUUUGCUUAAAUAGUAAUUAAGAUUAUAAUAGUAACUUCAAAAAGAUGUGGCAGCUUAUUUAAUAAGUUGGUUAUAAUAAGCAACUCCCUACCUGAUUUUAAAAGUUACUAUCAAAAUCGAGAAAAUUAUGAAAUAAGUAGAUUUUAUAAAAUUUAUAAAACGCUGUUUUUGAAAUGCAAGUUACGCAAUCCAAGAGGGGGGUGAAUUGAGAUUUUAAAACUUAUGCAAUACAAUUCGCACAACAAAUCAAUCUAAUGCCUUAAUGGAAUAGAAAACAAUAAAUUCAAACAAAUAUAAUAAUAAAAGAGUAAGGGAAGAGAAAAAUAAACACACGGAUUUUUACGUGGUUCGGCAAUCCCCGCCUACAUCCACGCCUCCAAGCCAACCAAGCUCGAGGAUUUCACUAUCCAAUCCUUCUAAGGCUUCAAAUUUUUACAAUUGACUUCCAAGGUGUCAAUGAACCUUUGCAAUCAAGAGAUUAUCUCCCCAAUCUCUUCACCCCAAGUGUUUCUCACAAUUUGAUAAGAAAUAAAAAUUACAACAAAAACUCUCUUUAAAAGUGGAUAUGCAAAUAAUAGCACAACAAUGAUUCAAUCUAUGAUGAUUUGUGAUUUGGAAGCUCAACAUAUGUUAUAUGAUCUUAUUUAUGCUUGCAUUAGUUCUUAAAAUGAAGUUGGAGUUGAGAUUUUAUAAUUAAAGCCCGAAAACUAUUUGUUAUAGACAAAUUCCCGCAACCAAACGAUUAGCCGCUUGAUUUAUCCGACUAGCCACUCAAAACAGUGAUAUUACCGUUGUUUUUGAAUUUGCUACAGUAAUAUUGUUCACUAAAAUUAUACUAUAUUCCAAAACGUUAUAAAACUUUAAAAAUAGGUCCAAUUUCAGAAUUUUUAAAUAAUAAUUAUCAUUUCAAAACUUUCUGAAAUUAUGAUAUGACCCCAACUAUAUUAUUAUUUUUUAAAGAGGUCCUUUUCAUAAUUUUAACAUAAUACCCAUAUUUUUCAAAGUUCUCAAAACCUUUCACUUUAGUCUAAAAUGUUCAUAAAUUAUAAUAUGGCCCAAAGCAUUUCAAAUUUUUACAAAAAUGUCCAACUCUGAAAUUCAAAAUAAUACUUAUUAAAAUCAAAGAUUGCAAAACUAUUCAUUUAAGUCCAAAUUACUAAAAUCCACAAAAUACUCUACAAUAUAACAAUAAAACCUAUCAUGCAUCAAUUAAAUCAUACCGGCUUUACAAGAAUUUUAUCACAAUAAUUUAUCCGUUGAGCUCUAAACUUUAUUCUUGAUUUCACUUGCAUAAAUAUUACCCUUAAAAAACUAGUGAAAAUGUGAAAUACAUUUUUUAUUAAAUCACUUAAUACACAUGUUUGUUAUCAUUAAAAUUACAUUAUGUGUAGCCCUUUAGGCUAACAGUUUUUGUCACAGAUUAUGAAAUAAACAGCUUAUUUUCAACUUCAAUCUCAAAUAUAAACCUUUAGUUUUUAGCUAUAUCAUUAAUUUGAAAGGGUUAUGCCAAUACCCCUUUGUAGUCAAAUGGGGUAUUGGUGACUAGAGCUGGCAAAACGGGUCAUCGGGUCGUGUUCCUGUCAUGUCAGUUUCGUGUCGUGUCAAAUUUAGGUCGACCCAAACCCGACCCAUUUAAUAAUCGUGUCAAAAUAUUGAGACCCAAACCCGACACGGAAAAAUAACCGGGUUACCCAAUAACCCGUUUAAUAUCUACAUACUGAACAAAAGUUACAUCAAAUAUUUACACACUAUCAUACAUACGUAUGUACAUAAAUACAUACAUACAUACAUACAUAAUUUAUCGAUAUUAUAAAAUAUACAUAUCUACCAAUAUAUUACACAUGUACACUAUUGAGUUUUAAUUUUCUAUAUAUAUAUAAUAUUAUAUAUCAAUAUUAUAAAAUAUACAUGUCUAUCAAUUUUUACAUAUUUACACUAUUGAAGCUCUAAAUGUAUGUAAAAUUUUAUAAAUAAAACAUUGUGUUUAUAUUCACCCUUUUAAAGAAUAAAAAAAAAGAAAAUCAUCUCUAAUAUUUGAGUUUUAAUUAUAAGAAUAUGUAAAUUAUUUUAAAAUAGAAAAUAUAAUCGGGUCAUUGAUUGGGUAAAUGGGUCAAGAAUUUUAACCCAAACCCGACACGGAAAAAAAUCGUGUUGACCCGGACCCGACCCAUUUAAUAAUCGUGUUAAAUUUGAUGACCCAUGCCCAUUUAUUUAUGUCGUGUUCGUGUCGGGUAAUCGGGUCGUGUCAAAUUUUGCCAGCUCUACUGGUGACAAAGUAGCUAACCUUUUAAAAAAAAAGUAAAAAAAGCUUAAUUUAAUCACGUUGCAAUAAUACCUUAAAACGAAAACUAAAAGCAUAAAGAAAUUAAAAAAUAUAAGUUAAAUUAUAGAGAGGGAAAAAAAUAAAGGCGGUGAAAGCCAAAAAUAUAACCUCCCCGGCUCACUUUAAGAAAGAAAACACCGGAGAGAAGAAUUACCCAGAUUCAGCUUCAAUCAUGUCUAAUGAAUUGAUAGAGUUAGCCAAAAAGGACAAAGUCCAGGAAAAGGACAGCACCCAGAAUCAGAAUGGAUGCACGUCAAUGCACAGAGCCCCCGUGGAAGGGGAUGGCGAGAUGAUUCACUGCCUCGGAAAGCUUGAUCCCCAAACUGGUAGUGUUGUAGAAGACAACGGGUUGACGACGCCGCUACACAGAGCAGCUGUCAAUGGCGAUACUGGCAUGAUUAGGGAAAUAGCAUGCUCGGAAUCCCUUGCAAAGCUGACUUCCGAUGCCGAGACAGCUCUUAUCCUUGCAGUGAAGAGUUCUCAAAUCGAUGCUUUUAAAAUCUUGGUGGAGGAGACAAAGAGACACAACAGGGAGCAUCUUUUCAAUGCGACAGAUAAGGAGGGCAACAGUCUUCUUCAUCUUGCUGCAUUGAACAAAUUAAUCGUGGUAAGCUCUCCCUGCUCUGUGCUCUCUCACACUCGCGAAAUUACACAAAUCACACAACUUUUAGGGUCGACUUUAAAGGAUUGGAGGACUAGAUUGAUAGCUACGAAAGUUGCUAAGGCCAAAAGAGAAAUAUCAUAAAGGAUAGUGGGUUAAAAAAGUAGAAAGCCAAAUGUAGAGAAAAAUGUGUGUGGAGUUGGCGCAUAUCCAGCGGGACCCAUAAUUUACAUAACAAAAUAAUAUUUCUAUUAUGUCGUAAGUAAGUCUUGGGUAUUUUCAUUAUGAUCCCCUCAACCAAAAUCCUACUUCCCCACUCUGCCCAGGCUUCUGCCUAGUUCCGCCUAUUGAUGAUGUUUAAUAAUUGCAGAUUGUGAAUCUACUUCUUGAGGGUUCCUCCAGCGACAUAAUUCAAAUCGAUUCCAAGAACAAUCAGGGACAGACAGCCUUGGAUAUAUGCAAAGCCAAUUCUCAAGAUAGUGUUUCCAACGAAAUUGGCUCGAUCCUCGAAAGAGCUGCAGCUCGGCAACAAACUGCUCCUGUUUCAGAACUCCCCAUCGAUACCACUAGUGGCUUCUGGAUUCCCAUAGAGACGAAGAACGUGAUACUGAUGGUCCUAGGAAUGAUUGCUACGGCUUUUUUCGCCGCAACCUGUGAUUUGCCAAAUAGCUUUGUCAAAGGAAAUCAUCCUCAAGGUGAAUUAAACAAUCAUCCUCAAGGUAAAUUAAACUUAUUUAUGGAGAAAAUUUUAUCUUAAAGGAAUGCUUAUGACAAAAUACAUUACACUAAAAUCUAUACAUUUUUUUUUUUAAUCUUUUAACUUAUUCUUAUUUUAUUAAGAUAAGAGAUUCUUUUAUUAUAAAAGUACUAUAUUCACAGAAGGGGGGCAAUUUUUUUUAUUAGCUGUAAUCUUGCAGUUGCCUGCUUCCUUUCUCAUAGCAAAUCAUAUAUGCAUGCCUUGCAGGUCAAAAAUUUGAUGCUAAGGACGUUAUAUCUGGCAAGUUACCAACGGUUGUCUACCUGAUGAUUUUCAAUUCGGCUGGGUUUAUGACUGCUAUGGCUGCAAUUAUCAUACUUGUGUGGCGGCUAAAACUUAGAACAAUCCUCCUUUUUCUUGUGAUCUGCAUAUGCGUUGUUUAUGUCAUGUUAGUGGAUGAGGUCACGCCUAAGUUCAGUGUAAGUGUCGGGACAUUCAGCAUUUCAAGCAUGGCUUUGAUGUGGUCCCUAGUCGCAGCCCUUUCUCUCUCAGGAAUCUCUGUGCUGAGUAUGUGGGGGAAGUACACUUCAUCCCUUUGGCGAUUCAUUGUCUGGCUGUCCAUGAAAAGAGCAAAUUGCUGGAGCAACAACACUCUUGGAGAUUUAGAGGCUAGUUCAAUUUGAUGAUAGAGUUCAAUUUGAUUCUUUUCCUUUCUGUAGAAAUAAGUUGUUUGGAAAAUGUAAAAAGAAACUUCCACUGAAGGCAAACGUGGUCUAGGGAUUCACGAAGCGAAAAUAGGUGUAUUCUUCUUGUUUUCCUAACGUUUUGCUGGGAAAUAUAAAAAACCAUUGAGUGUGUUUCUUAUAUGGAUUAGGCCUAUAUUGGCAGGACAACAUAAAUCUUUGUGUCAUUUCUUUCUGUACUGGAUUUAUUAGAUUCCUUGCCUUCUUCUUCUUAUUUUUCCUUCUUUAAUCAAUCAAACUGAUCUCCAGAGUAAUUACAUGGGAUCUGAUUACCGAUUUAAUGUUGCAGCGGCUGGCAUGAAAGCGCGCAAUGUUCUUUCUUUGAUUGACCCAAGGUAUGGCAGCACCUAGAGAUGGCCACCGGGCCAAGCGACAUCUGGCACGCGGGAACAGCAUGGAACAAGCAUGUUUUGGUAAGGCGCACAGCACGGCACACAUGCGGGCUGAGCUGGAUUGAGAAUUUUAGCCACAUAUGCCUUAAAAACAUGACACGAUUGGAGAUGGUGUAAAGCAUGGCAUAUGAAAAGGCCUAAAAUAAACAUACUUUAUUGAUAGGCUAGCUCGCAACUCAUGGGUCAUCAAUAACAUGUUGGCCAAAGUAUAUCAUAAUAAAAAAUUUUUAACGAAAAGUAGACAUCAAAUGUUAUGAUUUGACAAAUAUCACCGUAGGUUUUUUUAAAGUUAAUUUAAGUCUUAGUUUCAAGAAAAAAAAUAUUCCAAUUGUUUGUGUUUAUAAUUUAUUUAUUAAAUGAAUAAAUUAUAUCAUGAUUUUAAUAAAUAAAAUUAUCAAUAUCACGAUUUUAUAAAUGAUAGACCUAAACUUUUAUGACUGUAAUAUUUCAUUUAUGAAAUCACGAAUUAGUCACAGGAGACAUUUUUCAUCUGUGAAUGAAAUGUUUUUCACAUUUACACAAAAAAAAAUAAAAUUAUGAAUGAAAUAUGUUUUAUAAUAAAUUAAAAGUUACUUUUUCAUUCAAUGGAGUUCAAGUGCAAGUACAAUAUUAGUAGCUCAAAUAAAUUUAUGUGUAAUUUGCAUCAUUACGGUUAACUAUACAUCUCAACUAGGCUGUUAUAAUUGAUAUCUCUUAGUCGUAACUUCUUGUAAUCAUUAUUCCAAGAUUAUAAUUUUAAUUUUUAUCAAUCAUUACCAUGGUCGGAAUUAGAUUUAUGUAUUGUUGUAUUAUAAUUGGUCAUUGCAAAAUUAUAAUAUAGUUAUAUAAUUGUGUUCAUGAGAUGUUAAUUAUUAUAUUUUAAUUUGAAACUUAUAAACAUUAUUGUUAUUACGGAUUAUGAUUUAUAACUCUAUGUAAGUUCAAGUUAAUAAUUAAAUGUUAAUCUUUAAAGAAAAAUAAUAAUAAUAAUAAUAAUAAUAAUAAUAAUAAUAAUUAUUAUUAUUAUUAUUAUUAUUAUUAUUAUUAUUAUUAUUAUUAUUAUUAUUAUUAUUAUUAUUAUUAUUAUUAUUAUUAUUAUUAUUAUUAUUAUUAUUAUUAUUAUUAUUAUUAUUAUUAUUAUUAUUAUUAGUGCAUGGGCUUGAAAAAAGGGCACAUGGAUUUAAAAAAGCACGCCAAGCACUAUUGGGUCUGAAAAAGCACACAAGAUACACCCUCUAAAAAAAAGGCACCCCUGCUUUUUGUUGGUUACAACCCACGACACGACAUGCGUAGGAUCAUGCUAUGGACCGUGCUCGGCCUAAAAAAAAAUAGGGCACGACACUUCUCAAGCUAUUGAAUGACCUAAUUAUUGAAGAAAAAUCAGUUUUUUUUAAAUUUUUAUAAAACCUUUUUAAGAUCGCUCUCAUAAAAUAUAUAAGAAUUUGCAAUCUAGAAAUUGUACCUUAAAAAUCUGAUUUGGCUUUUUCCGCUGAAGUGAUUUAGGCUCCCAGAUCACGAUCCGUCACCACCACUCCUGUUAGAUCAAGAUUCGUCACCACCACUCCUGUUAGAUCACGAUCCGUUACCACCACGCUUGUUAGAUCACGAACUGUCAUCAAUGAUCUUCCAAGUUAUAACUCAGGUUUGAUAUGCACUUGACGCGUGGGCGCCUUUUUCACCACUAAAGCAACUAGAACGAGAAAAUUUUUCUCUAAAAAAUCAGAGAGAAAAAUCUUUUUUUCUGAUCUGUAUAAAGUGGUUGCUCUCCUUCUUUUGGGAGAAAAUAAGCCCUUUUAUAUCUCCCUUUAGUGAAAACCUUAGGCUCUAAAUAAUGAAAAUCAAAAGCCACGUUACUUGCUUUUUCUAUAGGGGGCCCAUCUUGUAAAAUAACAUAAAGCCCCUUACAUACAAUCAUAUUAAAUGGAGCCUCCCACUAAAUGAUAUAUUUAGGCUUUUGACCCAAAUAGCUAGUUAUCUUGUUUAUUAAUCCAGUAGUGGCGCAGUCAAUUAAAUGAGCUAACCCGGGGAUCAUUUGGGAACAUACAAUAGUAGCUAUAAUAAUUAGGCAUGUAAUUAAACUAGCCCAAUUAUUUAAUUCCAAAUCUACUCCACUAAAAGAUUGGAACUGAUCUCCAUAAUUGUAUGCUCGAAUGAUAAUUUGUCCAAAACCACAUUGAUUUCUUUACUACAUAAUCCUUUGUACCACAUCGUUAAUUAAAUCGACAUCUCAAUUGUCCAAUCGAUUUAAUUACAUCUUAUUCCUUUAUACUUACUGGUUUUCUUUAAUGAUUAUUUUCAACAUACUAAAUAUGUUGACACACUCUGGCCAGAGAAUUCUAUGAUCAAGUGCCGAAAACCUAUCAAGAGAUGUGUUGUACAAAUUCUAUAUUGUUAAUCUAUAACUUCAAUACUCAUAAAUGCUCCCACCAAGAUAGACUACAAGUAUGUGUCAUGCAAUAAAUUUCAAGAUUGCAUGUUUCAUCUCAUCAAAUCCAAUUUUGACCUCUCCGAACACCUUCCAAUCUUCAACCAUUGUCAUCUUGAUUUUAGCUACUUCUACCUUGAUUUCAGCAACAUCCUGCUGUACGGCCAAGGCGGAUGUACGGUACAGCAGUCGUACUACAUCAAUAAAUUCAUACAUGAUUAAGACAAAUCAUUCAAUGAAUUUAUUACAGUCUAUACCAAAAUAAAGUGCCCAACUUUAUUUAUCAACUGCGAAUUAAAUUUAUUUAAUCAUAAGAUAAUUUGUAUUUAUAUUUUCUGUGAAUCCACAUAGUGAUCACAUAAAUACAUAUAAUAUGAUUAAAUGGAUUUCAAUCAAAAUAUUAAUACAAUUAAGAUAUUUAAAUAAAAUACCUCAUUUAUUUUAUUAAUCAGAAAAAUUAUUUAUUACAAUUAAAUAAACAUAUAUGCUUUUAAAGAGCAUAUUUUCCCAACACUAACUUCAAUUGCGGCAUGCUUGUUGGCCAUCUUUAGCAACACCUAAGUCCAUUGAAUAAAGAAAAUGAUUUUAAUGAUUGGAGAGUAAAGAUAUGAGGACUUUAUUGCUUCAUCAACGGCUUGAGGAAGCUCUUUAUGAGGAUUCAAACAUACCUUUGAAAUAAAACUUAUUGAUGAUAAAAGAAAAAAUGAUUUUGACUCUUUAAGAAGGCCUCUAGGGGCAUAAUCUUGAGUUUGGGUGAUGGGUAUUAGGGAAAGUUUGAAAGAGAUAGUCAGUGACAUCAACAAAUCUCUUAAUUUCAAAGAAAUUAGAGAGCUUGAAGGAUAACUUACUGAUAACGUGUCAACAUUCAAUAAAGAGUUCUCGUAUCAUCUGUUCCGCUUCUCCAACCUUGUUGUGUGUGAGCCUUUUUUUUUUUGGUGAAUAAUGCACUUUGGAUGGAAAUAAGAAAUCUUAUUCACUAUUCUUAUGUGUGUCUCCUUCCCGAAUCGGAAAAUCAGAAUCUGGAAUUGGAAUUAUUGGUAGUGUUUACUUUACAAAAUAAGUGUGAGAAUGAUGCAUAUUAGGAAUCCAUCUUAUACUAGAAUGUGUUUCCUUUUUAACUAAGGUUUCGGACUUCUAAUUUUCCUUUCUAGUUCAGAACUUUAUUUUCCUUUUUCUUCAUGGUUUAGGAUAAUUGUUACUAAUAUAAACAGUCAUAUCUUGUAGCCUUAAAGGCAUAUUCGAGUUCAAUAAUAUUUUCAAUUUUCAAAUAUCUGUGUGAGUAUUUGAGUUAGUUAAUUCUUAGUAUUUUGCGGAAUCAACGAGUCUUAACUCCUAAAUUCGCGGUAUUCUUUUGAAUCAACGUGAAUUUAGUUUGUUCUUUUAUUCCGGUAUUCUCUAGAAUCAAUGGAAUAUUUUGAACUUUAAACUUCCGCUGCAUCAGAGAAUCGAAAUGAAAAUCAUGGGACCCACAUCAAAUUGAAAAUGGGGAAUAAGAGACUAAUUCUUGGGGAUGGGAAUAAGUCUCCCAUACCCUAAACUACCAAAUUUGACCCAUUAAAGUUUCUAAAUUUCAAAAAUACCCCCAUUAAAUUAAAAAUAUAAAUUAAAAAAAAAGAAAUCACUGCAUCGGCACCACGUCAUUGUUGGUCACAAUAUCACAGCACUAGCAUCGGGAUCUAGUGUCACUAGUCGUUAGGGAUGGCAAAAAUCCCCACGAGGACGGGUACCCUCGGGGAUUUUCCCCAUUCGGGGAGGGUAUGGGGAUAAUUUCAUACCCAAUUUCUUAUUCGAGGAAGGGACGAAGAAAAUUUUUUACCCAAUUUCUUAUUCGGGGAGGGGACGGGGAUGAGGUGGAAUCCCCAUCCCCUACCCAUUUCCCCAUUUUAAUUUUUAAUUUUAUUUUUAUUUUUUAAAAUUACUAGUAAAUAAAUAAUAAAAUUUGAAUUUUUAAUUUUAAUAUUCAUUAAAUGUUUUAAACUUAAAUCUAUUUUUUAUUUAUUUUUAGAUGUUAUAAUUGCCCACAGCGAAUCACAAUUUUAAUAUCUAAUUUAAUCUAAUCUAAUCCAAUUUAAUCUAAUAUUUACUCUUGAUUUACUCCGACUUAACUAUUGUGUUGUCAAGGGAAUAGUCCACAUUUAUAAAGUGCCACGCCUCCAUUGAAAAAGUUAAUUUUGAAUCUAAAUUCGAUUUUAUUUGUAACAAUUUUGUAUUAGACUAUUAAUUUAUUCAUAAUAGUUUGUAAAAGAAGUUUGUAUCCCUUACAUGCCGCGUUACUUACUAAUUUAAUGUAUGUGACUUUUGUAAUGGAUAUUAAUGUAAGAUAUAUUUCAAACUUUACUUUUAUUUGAAUUUUUUAUUUUAAUAUGAUUAACUCAAAAUCAAAAACAAAAAAUGUAUUAGUUAUUCGGGGAUCGGGGACCCUUGGGGAUCCCCUGUUAUUAUUCGGGGAGGGGAUGAGGAUUCUCUCAAGUAAUUCUGACGGGGACGGAGAGGGGACGGGGACAUACGCAAAAUAUCGGGGAUGGGUACGAGGAGAUUGGUCCCCUCCCCUCCCCUCCCCAUUGCCAUCCCUACUAGUCGUCUCCAUUUUGGCACAUUGUCUUUGGAGCACAUCGUUGCUGGUUGUCUCCCUUUGGACACUUCUUCUGUGAAGUAGCUGCUGGUUGCCAAAAUCUUCAUCGUCUUCAUCUUCACCAUCUAAUCUUCACCUCGCGAUCUUCAAUAAUAAUAAUAAUAAUUAAUAAUAUUAUUGUUAUUAUUAUUUUUAUCCUUAUUAUUGUUGGUAUUAUAAUAAAUACAAAUUACUCUAAGGUUCUAAAAAAAAAAAAACUAGGGACAACAAUUAACAAAGGGUAUUUUAGUAAAUUGUAAUAGUCAAUUCCAAUUCGAAGAUAAAGUAAAGUAAAUUGUAAUAGUCAAUUCCAAUUAUAAGAUAAAGUAAACACAUAAUGAGAAUGAAGUUCCUUUUGAUUUUGAUUCAUACAACUCAAGUAAAUAAUUUAUCCCGAUUCUCGUUUAGUAAACACGCCAUUAGUUUUUUUUUUUUUGGUAAUCGUGAGCACAAAUUAUAUUCACAACAAUUGAGUAAAAAUAUAAAAGUAACUUAAAAUAAACACACGAAUUCUUGAGUUGAUCAACAACACUACUCCCGAUGAGUUCAGUAUCGAGCGAUUCUUGAUGGAGAUAUAGGUCAACAGAUCACUAUUUUACAAAAACAAAUAUAGUAAAUAAAUAUUCAUUUUAUAGAAUUUUACAAUAGAUCAUAUAAUGAUCAUAUUUAUAUGAUUGCAAUGGUCGAUCACCGAUAAAGAUUCUAACAAUAAUAAAUUUAUUUUAAACAGAUACCUAUAAUUUUCGGUGGUGGUUAAUCUUCCUCUUCAAUAAGUUUUUCAUUGUUUAAUAAGACAAUGCCAAAUAUAAGUUGUUUAAUAAGACAACACCAAAUAAAAUUUUAUCCUAGUACAAUUUUGUUUAGUGCACUCCGGGCCAGACAGUCUAACAAAAAACGCCUUUAUGGGUUAAUCAUUUUCCUUCGACACAUUGUGAACGUGCAUGUAUAAUUUCCAAAUUCCAAUCCAAAAUUCCAAGACCCGCGUUGGGUGAAAAGCUGGAAUGCAGGAGGAAAUUCUCAAGUUAUUGCAUACAUCCAGUUGAAUUUUGGGAGCAUCUUGGAAGUUACAUUGAAGGGCCCACACGCAAAAAAUGCAUUUUUGCUUUCUUUACAGUGACCGUAUAAUUUCCAAUCAAAACUUCCGAAGGCCCGUGCAAGUGAGGUGAAGACGCGGCAAUGCGGAAGGAAAUGCGUAGGUGACCUGGUGAAUUAAAGUUGUUUGGAGAGCUUCAGUGAAAGUUAUUGAGUAACGAUCAGGUGGGGAAUGUAUAAUUGCAUGCGUGUCAAGAUCUUAAAUAAAGCUAUGUUCUGAGGCCCACAGAUGUCUCUCUCAGAUCCUCCCACUAAACUCACUUCUUAUCUUCUUGAUCGAUAUAUGCUUCGCAACAAAUAGCCAUUUCUCAAACUAUAUAAUCCAGAAAUGGAACAAAAACUAGUCAACAUUUGUUUCUUUAAAAAUCAAACAUGAAAAAACACCAUACUUUCUAAUUACAUUUUGACUGUAGCAUUGCAAUUAUGGCAAAGCUAUGUAUGAUUUAAUUAUUUGAUAAUGCAGAAUCAACCCACAUUGCAGCCAGAUUCUGUUUGCCCGAAUUCUUCACUAGGCUAAAAAGGGGAAUUUUCAUUAUAAAAUUGGGACCAAAGCUUGAUAAUUUCUCUGACUUCAUUAAUCUUUAUCUGCUUUUUCAAAAUAGUUGUAGAUGAACUUUUAUUAAUAUAUGAUAACUGAGUUUUUCUCCGAUAAGGAUGUCUGUAUUUUUUAAAAUGCAGAUUCAUGAUUUUACAACACUAUAAAGUAAUUUAGCAGUUUACAAUGUUGUAAAAUCCUAAAUUUACAUUUUUUAAAAUGCUAACAUCUUAUGAUUAUAUGAUAAUUGUGGGGUAGUGUUAGUGAAAAUACUAUAAGAUAAAUCCCACUCACUCAACACAAAGAUGCUAAUACAUAGGUCUAAUUUGAUAUGGUGAUUGAGAAUCACUUUGUCAAACGAAUCUGAUUUCGUGAUGGACGAAAUAUCAUUCUAAUCCAAAUGACUCGACGUUGUGAUGAAUUAAAUAUCGUUCUAGUCCAAAUGACUAAACAUCAUGAGAUUUUUAAACAACACUCAACAAUGUGAGGUUAAGGAUAAGGGCAACGAUCCCAUCAACGAGACAAAAUAUAGAGGAUUUUAUUGAAUAACUAAAUUAAAUUAAUAAUGAUAAUACCUCUCUAUUUAUAAUGGGUAAAAAUCUACUUCCCAAUUUAACUCAAAUAGAAAAACAGAAUCACAAUUAAACUAGAAAUAAUAUCUAUAAACAAAUAGUUAAUAAGACACUGAUUAAAAUAAAAAAUAUCAAAAUAUCAUAAAAUAUUCAAAUAACCUCCUGCAUCAACAGCACAUCUAUAUCUAUUUUUAUUUUCAUUUUAUUUUAACACUAAAUAGCUCGGUUUUAAUUCAGUUCGGUUAAAAAAUCAAAAAUCAAUUCGUUUAUAUUUUCUGAACUAUUCAGUUCUUACUGACCAAGUCGAAUGCCCAACCCUGCAUUAGGGUAACUCACUGAUAACGUGUCAACAUCGAUAAAGAGUUUUCGUAUCAUAUAUUCCGCUUCUCCAACCUUGUUGUGGUUAGUAGCCUUUUUUUUUUUUUCAAUAAUAGGUGAGAAAUCUCAUUCAUUACACUCACUUUAUCUUAGAUAAUCGUGAGUACAAAUUAUAUUCACAACAACUGAAUAAAAAUAUAAAAAUAAUUUAAAAUAAACACACGAACUCUGGAAUUGAUCAACAGCACUACCCUCAAUGACUUGAGUAACAAGCGAUUCUAGAUGGAGAUAUAAAUCAACGCAUCAUUAUCUUACAAAAAUAUAUACAGUAACAAAAUAUUCAUUUUAGCAUGCUCCUGAUUAUAUUUAUAUGAUAGUAUUGUUCAAUCCUCCGAUGAAAAUUGUAACAAUACUAAAUUCGAUACCAAUAAUUAUCAGUGGUGGCUAAUCUCCCCCUCCAAUAAGUUUUUCAUUGUUUAAUAGGACAACACCAAAUGUAAUUUUAUUAAAAUUUUCUAAUUUAUCCUAGUUCAAAUUUGUUUAGUGCACUCGUGGCCAGGCAGUCCAACAAAAAUGCCUUUAUGGGCUUAUCACUUUCUUCGACACACGGUGACCCUGUACGAGCAAUUUCCAAAUUCCUAUCCAAAAUCCCAAGACCCUGUGUUAGGUGAAAGCAGGGAUGCAAGAGGAAAUUCUAAAAUUAUUGCAUAAACAUCCCAUUCAAUUUUGAAAGCAUCUUGGAAGUUACAUUGAAGGGCCCACGCGCAAAAAUGCCUUUUUCCUUUCUAACACUUACCGUGUAAUUUCCAAAGGCCCUCGUAAGUAAGGUGAAGUCGCGGCAAUGCAGAAGGAAAUGCGCUGGUAAACCGGUGAAUAAAAGUUAUUUGUGAAGCUUCAUAGAAAGUUACACAAGUUAUGAUAUCUUUUUGUAGUGAACGACCGCAUGCUUGAGGUUCACGUCUCUCUCGGAUUCUCAACAAAUCCAUCUUUUAUAUUUUUUAUAUAGCACUAAACUCACUUCUUAUCUUCUUGGCUCGGUAACAAAUAGCCAUUUCUCAAACCAUAUAAUGCAAAAACGAACAAAGAAGCUAGAGACAGGAUUUGUUUCUUUAAAAAUCAAACUGAAAAAAACCAUGCUUUCUGAUUACAUUUUAGACGGUAGCAUUGUCAAAUUUGGGAAAAGCUAUGUAUGAUCUAUUUGAUUAUGAAGAAACAAACCAAACUUCAGCGUCAAUAAACCCAGCUAUAUUAUUCAUGUGUUAGUUAUCGGUCCAAACAAAAUACAAGUAGAGUCAUGUUCGUCAUAAUUCUUCACUAAGCUAAAGAGGAGAAUUUUCAUUAUAAAAUUGGGACUGUUACAAAAUAAUUUCUCACACUUCAUCAAUCUUUAUUUACUUUUUCAAAAUAGUUGUGGAUGAACUUUUAUUGAUAUAUGAUAACAGAGUCUUUCUUUAGCGAAGAUGUUCACAUUUUUUUAAAAUAUAGAUUUAAGAUUUUACAAUGCUGUAAAAGAUUUUUAUAAUGUUGUAAAAUGAUUCAUCAGUUUACAACAUAAUAAAUAUUUUCUUAUAAUAUUUUACCGAAUUCGCAUUUUAGAACAUGCGGUCAUUCGCGCCUGUAAAUGUUUACAUGAUAAUUGAUGUAGUGAGGUAGUGUAAGCAGAAAUAUUGUACGAUAAAAUCCAGUUUAUGCGACAUAAAGACGGGAAUACAUGAGUCUAAGUUUGAUAUGGUAGUUGUGAAUCACUCUGUCAAACGAAUUCCAUUUCAUGAUAGACUAGAUAUCGUUUUAAUCCAAAUGAUUGAACAUCGUGAGAUUUUUAAAUAACACUCAACAAUGUGAGGUUAAAGAUAAAGAUAACAUAACUAAAUUAAAUGGAGAUAUAUAUAUCUACUAGAAAUACUAAAACGUCAAACACCAAAGUUAUACAAUCUAUUAUCUGACAGGAUUGACAAGGGAUGAGCUUGACAAGAGAGGCUUCAAAGGGUCCGACAUUGUGCAAAUGUAAGCGGCGGCCAUUGAGAAUGCAGAAACUAGGCAUAGUGGCCAGAGCGGGAGCUCGCUGAAAAGAAUCAUCAUCAAUGCUACCGAUAUGAAAAAGACUAAGGAAUUGAAGACAAUGACUGAUGGUAUAAAAUAUGGAUGCUGAUUCACAAUCUGGCAGAAGGGACUUUGGCUGCUAGAAUUGCAUUCGUAGGCUUGUUCAGCUCUGCAUCCCAGGAUCUUCAAUUGUAUGUGGAAGGUUGUGGUUGAUAACAGUGCAGAGAUGAGUAAUAAUAAAUGAUAUACAUUAACGCCUUUAGAGUGCUGCUUUCCUGUUUCCAUGGGCCAGUUAUGCUGCAAAUUUGAAGCAGCUGAUGAGCUAGCUGUCUUCCAAGAUGAGAUGUCUAAAGCUGAAAAAUAAUACAAUAGCUGCAGAAUUCAAAUAUAAAAUUACAACAAACAAAAAAAAAACUGUAGGUGGC
rnacentral:lncRNA from 1 species